rnacentral:lncRNA from 1 species
AACAUCUAAGUGACCUAGGUGACCUAAGUGGAAAGUGUCAAGGUGAAUUAGGUGAAAAUUAAAUUAAGAAUGUAUCUAAGUGAUUGAAGAGAAUGUGUUGAGUGAGAUAGGAGUGUACCUACUGGGCCAAGUGUAUCCAAAUGGGCCUAUGGUGCCAAGAAUGCCAAAAACCAACUGGUCGAGCUAGUUGAGAAAAUUUCUCAAAUUUUGACAAAAUAUCCCUUGAAGAAUAAGGAAUCCAAAAAAAAAAAAAAAAAAUGGUGCGCAAUUCCGAGCUCGGAUGAAGGAGAAAUGAAUAAAACAAGCUAGAGUGUUCCCGACUUAGAUGGGCUUCAGCGAGCUUCAACCGAACUGAAGUCUUUAUGAAGACCUUAACCUCUAACCUGUAGUAUGAUACAAACCAAGGAAUUGACCAUGACGACAUUUCAUAAUGAACUAAACGCUCACACUAAAUUGAACCAUAGGUGAACUCACGUGAUGUCCGAAAACCGAUUAAGCCCAACAAGGGCCCCAUGGUCAUGACAUACAAAGGUCAAGUACGGGCGACACCCCCAAGAUACAUGCAAGUGUCAAGGAACAAAAUUGAGGGUCUACAGGGAUAUUGCAAGGUUUGUGGCUCAAUGUUUGGUAUGCCAACAGGUGAAAGCUGAGCAUCAACGACCAGCAGGAUCAUUACAACCACUUUCUAUUCCUGAAUGGAAAUGGGAACAUAUUACCAUGGACUUUGAGACAAGGUUGCCAAGAACCUUAAGGGGUAAUAAUGCUAUUGGGGUAAUUGUGGAUUGAGUGACAAAGUCUGCUCAUUUUCUACCUAUGAAAGUCAAUUUUUCUAUGAACCGUUUGGCUUCUCUUUAUAUUAAGGAGAUUGUGAGAAUGCAUGGUGUACUUGUUUCUAUAGUAUCUGACAGAGAUCCUCGUUUCACUUUUAGAUUUUGGUAUAGUUUAUAGAAAACAUUAGGUACUAAGUUGAGUUUUAGUACUGCUUUUCAUCCGUAGACUGAUGGUAAAUCAAAGAGGGUAAUUUAGGUCUUGGAAGAUUUGUUGAGAGCUUGUGCUUUGGACCUAAAAGGUAAUUAGGAUGAUUAUUUGCCCCUAGUGGAGUUUGCCUAUAAUAAUAGUUUUCAAGCUAGCAUUGGGAUGACACCUUUUGAGGUGUUAUAUGGUAGGAGAUGUCGAUCUCCUGUUUGUUGGGAUGAUGUUGGAGAGAAGAAACUUUUGGGGCUUAAACUUGUGCAGUUGACUGUUGAAAAUAUCCCUUUAAUUAAAGAAAGAUUGAAAGUAGCACAAAGUAGACAGAAGAGUUAUGCUGAUAAUCAUAUACAAGAUUUGGAGUUUGAGGUGGGUGAUCAUGUUUUCUUGAAAUUUUUACCUAUGAAGUAUAUAAUGAGAUUUGGAAGAAAAUGGAAACUCAGUCAUUGUUUUGUGGGACCAUUUGAGGUAUUAGAAAGAGUAGGCACUUUGGCUUAUAAAGUGGUCUUGCCUCCAAGUCUAUCUAAGAUUCAUAAUGUAUUCCAUGUUUCGACUUUGAGGAAAUAUAUUUAUGAUCCCUCUCAUGUUGUGGAGUUGGAGCCUAUUCAAUUUUUUGAGGACUUGACCUAUGAAGAGGUGCCCGUUCAAAUUGUGGAUGUGAUGGAUAAGGUACUACGACAUGAUGUUGUCAAGUUGGUAAAGGUCCAGUGGAACAAUCAUAGUAUCCGAGAGACCACUUGGGAAUUAGAAGAAGAGAUGAGAGAAAAACAUCCUCAAUUAUUUCAAGACUCAGGUAUGUCAAGUUUAGACGACUAAACUUUUGUUAAGAAGGGGAGGAUGUAAAGCCCAAAUUUUUUUUAGGGAUAAGUUAGGAAAAUAAUAAUAAUAAUUAAAUUAGUUAAUUAAUUAAUUUAAUAAAAUGAAAAAGGGGUAAAAAUGUAAUUUUUUGGAUAAAUACCCUUGGUAUAAAUUAGAAAUUAUUGUUCUUCCUGUUCUUUUCUGAAUAACGUUCUUGUUCACAGAAUUCCAGAGAACGUAAGGUUGGAGUCGGAAUUCAAGGUUUGAAGUAUAGAUCUCUAUAGGUAAGAUUUUUUUUUUCUUCUAAUUCUUCAAUUUUAUUUUCUUAGAUCCGUCACUUUUUGUGAAAACUUUAGGUAAUUUUUGAAGAAACCCCAAUAUCUAGAUUAGGGUUUUUUUUUUAAAUAAAAAAAAAUAAAGUGGAAGAAGUCUUUGAGGGAGGACUUGAGGCGUGAUUGGGUAUAUUAAAGAAAUAAAAAAUAAAAAAUGAAGAAAAUCUGAAAAUGGUGUCGUUUGGUGUGUGUGAUUUGGAAAGUCAAAUGACAUUUAGAAUUGGUGUGUGUACUUUGAAAAGUUAAGUGGCAUGUAGAAUCUGGGAUGGAAAAAAAAAAAGAAUAUAUAUAUAUGUUGAUAUUAUUAAAAGAAGAAGUAGGUCUAGGAAACCUACAUAAUGAUGGGUUUGGAUUAAAUAAAUAAAUUAUUGUAUAAAGUGAUGAGAGAAAUUAUUUCAAAUAAAUAUUUCUAAGAAAUUCUAUUUAGUUUAGGAAUUAGAAACAAAUUAUUGAGAAUAAAUUUUUGAAACAAAAAAUUAAUUAAUAAAUAAUAAAAUAAACAAAGGGAAACUAAUUAAUUAAAUUAUUGGUUAAGAAGUUGGAAAAUAAUUUUGUGAUAAUAGUAUCUUUUUGUUAUGUUAGGUGAGAGUUAGAUUAUUGGGGCUAAACUCUUCAAGGUUUCUAAGUGCUUUUAAGGUAAGAGAAAUUAAUGCAGUUUUUUUUUUUUUAGAAAUAAAUUUUUAUAUACAUCAUUUGGAAACGUUUUGAGUUAUUAUUCGUUUUAUGCAUGGAUCAAAUAUGUUUUGCAUGAAAAGUAUGUUAGAACCUUAUAUUUUGUUUACAAUAGAGAAAUGUGGAGAUAUUAUGUUUUGCAAAUUUGAAUAAUUGAAAUAAGUGUUUGACUUUGGUUUGUUUGGCCCUUGUCAACGGGAUAUAAUAGUUGACCUUUACAUUUUUUGAUGGGGAAUGUAAUUGAUUUGGACCCCAACCUCUAGGGGUUUGGUUAAAGGUUACUAAUACUAGUAGUGUUUGGUUCCGUCCACCUUAAAGGAAUAAUUUGAGGCUAGCCACCUAUUUGAAAAGUCCCACCUAACUGGGUACCAUUUGAUGUUUGAUGACCAGAGUAAAUAAAUGAUUUGAAUGAAUUUGAUAUGAAAAUGUUUGAAUCAGAAAUGAAAGUGUAUAGUUAAAAGUUUUGAAUGUAUUGACAAAACUGAUUGAAAGGUUUAUGAAAAUAAUUAGUUAUAAUAUCUCCUAUUUUGCAAGUGAACUUGAAAUAUUUGAUCUAUGGACUGCUGUAGACCCUCAAUUUUGUCCCUUGACAGUUGCAUUUUAUCCUAUGGGUGUCACAUGCACCCAUGUUUUCAUAUGACCUCGCCAUGACCCCCUUUUGGCCUUGAUCAGUUUCUAAGCCUUAUGUAGGUUCAUUUGUGGUCCAAUGUAGUGCGGGUGUGUAGUUCAUUUUGGAGUUCCGUCAUGGCCAAUUUCCCUAGUUGUUCACAUCAUGCUAUAGGGAAGGAAGUGAGGCCCCCCAAAAAUUUCAGUUCAGUAUGAAUUCAUAAGAGCAUGUUCGAAUUCGGAGCACUUAGGCUUAUUUUGAUCAUAUCUCCCUCAUUUGAACUCGGAAUCGUGCACCUUUUUUUUUAUGGACUCCUUAUUCUUCAAGGAACAUUUUGUCAAAAUUUCAAAAUUUUUCUCAACCGCCUCAAUCGGUUGGAAUCUGGUUCAACUGGUUCAUCGAGUCAGCUUGUAUGGAGCACUAAUUUUGGUGAUUUUGGAGCCCAAUUCCUACAUAGCUUGGGCCCAUGGGCUCUAGAUCAGUUUUGGGCUGUAUUUUGGAUCCAUUUUGGGCCUUAUUUCGGAUUCCUUGCAGCCCACCAUGAAUCCAUAUGGAUCUUUGGUGGGAAAGCAUGUUGAAAGCUUAAGAUAGUCAACUUGCAUGGAGAAUGAGGAGAGGAGUUAAUGGGGAAGUUGAUUCCGAGACUAACUGGAGCUCUUUCCAGAGCUUGAAGGAGAGAAAAAUGAAGAGGCUUUGAUGGCUGGAAGUCUGGGACUAUAAAAGAGGAAAAAAAAAUUAGAUUUGAAGGGACUUCUUCUUUUUCUAAAAGGGGAGACUCUGUGGAAUCGUGGAGGAGGAAUUUUAUAAGAGGUUUUUGGAGGGUUUCUUUUCGUGAGUGGUCUGAGGGAGUGAAGUGAAGAGGUCCUCAGACUUUUGGGGGUCUCGGAUACGUUUGGAGAAGCUUUGCAAGCUGAGGGAGCAGAUCCUCUGUUUUUAGAAGAAAAGUAGAGUAAGGAAACGCUGCUCGUGUAUAGAUUGAGGCUGCCUCUCUAGGCCCCGCUUGAAAGUGGGAAUCUUCUGACAUUUGAAAGGCUUUGCACGUGAAGGAAAGAAGGAGAAGGAGGUCUGAGUUUGGAUCUUUACCAGGUAAGAUUCAUGAGGAAAUUUCAGGAAUUUCAUCUAUUUGAUUCAAUUGUCUUUUUUUAUGCUCAGCCAAUCUUUGGAUAUCAUCUUCUGAUUUAAGUAGAUUAUUCCAGCUACGUGGAUUAUUUUAGACUUGCUGUGUAUGCACUCAUGCUCCCAUUCAUGGAUUUCAAUAUUCUUUGUGUUUAGUUGAUGCAUGGGUGUCGGUUUCUUUAGAAUCUGAUGCAUGCUAUGUAAGGGUUGGGCUCACUGCCACUCUUAACUAUUGUCAUCCCUCAAAGUAUUGCAUGAAAUAAGGAUAGGGAUGAAGGCAGUUUGGUUACUUUUUUUGGCACACUCGUUCUGUUGUGUUUUCUUAUCUUUCCUCUGUCUGGGAAUGCAUGAGAAUUUGGUAUGACAGUUGUGGUUUCCUUUAGAUUAUCUCUCUAUUCAUAUGUUGGUGAAUAUGUCUCUCCCAUUGGUUGAUUGAUGCUUGAUGUUAUUGGGUAAGGAGAGGAAGCCCGAACUGUGAGACCCUUUUGUUUUUUAUUAUUCAAAUGUUUUAUGGGUUCAAUACAUUUUGGAUUUAGGUGGGAUUUAAGCCCACCCCUGAGUGUUGUUUUGGUAAGAUAUCUCAAUUGAAAUGUGAGAGGGUCUUGAUAUCAUUGGUUUGCUUGUUGGGAAAAUAGGCCACCAUGGCCACUUAGUGUGCUAAGGGUAGUGACCUUUGGGCCGUUCAGAUCUCAGUUCCAGAUUUGCCCACUUGGGGCCUAGUCUUUACUUGAGCAUGAAUGAGUGGUUAAAGCCUAGAUUGUGCAUUUGAGGAAAUAUUGAAUAAAAUUCUGAUUGCAUGUUUGUUUUGAAUUUGGGAAAUGGGAAGGGUAUUGAUAAUUGAUUUGGGGAACUCAAGCCAUUCCUGUCACAUUUCAGUUGAUUAAAAUCAAAAGACAAAGUAAAGCUUAGGCUUGGCUUGCUUGAAGUCAAAGUUCUCCUUAGCUUAGGAUUUGGGUGGAGGACUUUCACCCUCCUUGUUUUGUCAAUGGAUGAGGUCUCCAUGGCAUUCUUUGUGUUGGGUUUAGGGGCUGCCCAUCUUGGACGCCCGAUUUAGACUUGAAGUCAGGGGCACUUGGUUGUGUAUGGGAGGGUGCCCUCAGUCAUCAUUGCCUCCUAGGGUCAUUAGUUUAGUUUGAGAGGGUGGCCUUCAUUUUAGUAUGAUAGGGUGGCUCUGUGGCAGCCUCGGUUUUGAAGCGCUUUGCAUUGUCUUGGCCGGUUCUCCCUCAUCCAGGCUCAGAAUUGAGCGCCGUUUUUUUGUUAGAUUUCUUAUUCUUCAAGGAAUCUUCUGGUAAAGUUUCAGAUUUUUUUCUCAAUCCAACUGGUUCAUCCGGUGGCUUGGUGGCAGCCCCGUUUUAUAAACGUUUUGCAUUGUUUCAGCCGGUUCUCCCUCAUCCGAGCUCGAAAUUGAGCGCCGUUUUUUUUUUUUUUUGUUGGAUUCCUUAUUCUCUGAGGAAUCUUCUAAUAAAGUUUCAGAUUUUUUUCUCAAUCGGAUGAACCAAUUGGGAACCGGUUCAACAGGUGGCUUGGUGGCAGCCCCGUUUUAUAAACGCUUUGCAUUGUUUUGGCCGAUUCUCCCUCAUCUGGGCUCCGAAUUGAGCGUCGUUUGUUUUGUUGGAUUCCUUAUUCUCUGAGGAAUCUUUUGGUAAAGUUUUAGAUUUCUUUUCUCAACCAGUUGGGCUGGUUGGGAACCGAUUCAACCGGUUCUGCUAAGUAGCUCCAGUGUCAGCGUGUUUUGCCCCCCAUUUUUGUUGUGGCUUGGGCCCUUAGGCUCCAAGGCACUUGUAGGCCACCUUUAGGGUCUGAAUCCAGAUUUGGUUUGACUUAAUGUGGGCCCACCUAUGAGUUGAGGGUAUUAUUGGCUAGAAAGGUUGGGGGCUUAUUAUGAAUGUUUGGCUUGGGCAUAUUUUUAUGUUUGAUUAAAAGUGCUUAUGUCUAUUGAUUUGCCCCUGUUUGCAGCGCUUGGCUAGGGACCCAAGGUACGUACUUGACUUGUUGGGAAUUGGAUUCAUUUGCAUGCGUGUGGUUUGGAUAUGUUUGCUCGUUGUGUGUUUAUAUUGCUUGACUAACCUCUUAUGUAACGCUUGGCUAGGAACCUUAGGUACGCACCUUUUAGCUUUGAUUUGUGGAGACUAAGUGCACGCUAGAUACUGAGCAGGUUCGUGUGAUUUAUGUCAUUUGUUUAGCCUGAUUGAUCGAUUGAUCUUUGACCCAGAUGCUCCCAUGUACCCAAUUCAUUAGUAGAGACCGAGUUCCAGGCCUAGAGGGGUGCUACCUCGCAUGAGGUACCUUCCCAAUAGGUAACCUGAUCCCCGGACCCAGAAUCUAGUUUUCGUAGAUUGCUUUUUCCAUACUGGAGUCAUUAAGGGUUUUUGUUCUUACUUGAUUUUCCCCUUUAUAAAAUAAAAAUAAAAAGUAAGUGGUGACUCCAAACAAAACCGUUCCUCACCGGGGAAACCGAAAAACACACUUACUUUCUUAUUCUUUUAAAAAGCGAGUCAUGUUGGCCCAUGGAUCGGGUGAGGGUCCACAAAUUGGCAACUCCACUAGGGAUCGAACCCAGAAUCUCUAGUUUCAUAAGAGGAUCAAGCUUGAACUUGAAUUGGGUAUAUUGGAGCACAUGGUUCUCUGAUCAGUAGACUCUUAGGCUACAUAGAUGACUAAUGAUCACGUACUUGAUUGGUAUUUGGCUUGCACCUGUGAUGUGUUGAUGCUUGUGUGUCCAUUUGAUUGGUUUUAGCAUGCUUGCUCAUUGUUGAUUGGUACUUGGUUAUGAGAUUUGGGAUUAGCAUAGAUGGUUAGAUUGUGUGUAGAUUUUGUGGUAGGUCUUGCCCUUUGCGCAUGAUUGUUUGCUGCAUGGCUACCAUUUCUCUUGCAUGACUAUUUGCCGCUUAUGUUUGUGAGGCGCCCUUGUAUCCCCUUAUUUUCGAAUUACUAGUCUUGGUCGACUAUUCCUCAUUGAUUGCUUGAGUUGUUUGGGAGUCAUUCCCAACUGUUUGCUUUCAACCAAGCUAGGGGUUUGGGAGUAGGGUCUAGCAUAGGGACUAUAUCGAUGUUUGGGAGCAUUAUGGAGAUGAUGGAUAUCCAAGCAAUGAAGACCUAUAUAGCCCUGUGGAUUUCAUUGGAAACAUUUUGUGGCUUCAAAAAUCAUUCUCAGGACUCGAAUCCAUCAUUCCAGAUCUACUCGCUAAGUAUGGACCGAUCAUCACCCUCCAAAUUGGCUCUCACCCGACCAUAUUCAUCUCCAUCAAAUCUCUUAUCCACCAAGCCCUAGUCUAGAAUAGCGCAGGCUUCGCCGACCGCUUUCCCGCACGGCUCACUCAUAGUGUUAUCAGUUGCAACCAACAGAACAUUAACCCCGAGUUCUAUGACCCAAACUGGCGCCUCUUCCGCUGCAACCUCAUCUAUGAAAUCCUUAGUCCCUUGCACAUCAAAUUGUAUUCUCGCGCACACAAGUGGGUCUUGGACAUUCUCCUCUCUUGCCUUCAAAACCAUUCCAAACCGAACCAUGUGUUUGAUCACUUCGGAUAUGCCAUGUUUUGCUUACUGGUUCUUAUGUGCUUUGGUGACCAGUUGGGAGAUAAGCAUAUUCAAGAGAUUGAAGUGAUUAAGCGGAAAGCUUUGUUCAACUAUGCUCUCUUCAAUUCACUUAGUUUCUAGGAUAGAUUGGGGAAAAUUUUGUUCAAAAAAAAAAAAAAACGUUGGGAGGAGUUGCUACAGUUCGCAAGGACUAGGAGGUCCUACUGAUUCCCCACAUCAGAGCUAGACGACAACUAAGGCAAGAAAUGCAAGUAAAACAAGGGUAAUCAGAGGACUAUGUCUUGUCAUAUGCUAACACUUUGCUAGACUUGCAACUGCUGGAAGAGAAGUGGAAGCUUACUUAUGGAGAGAUAGUUAGUUUGUGCUUAGAGUUUCUCAAUGCUGCAACUCAUUCGAUAAACACUACAUUGCAAUGGAUUAUGGCGAAUCUGACGAAAUACCUGCAUAUUCAAGCCAAGGUAUAUGAAGAGAUUAGUGGGGUCGUGAAGGAUGGAGCAGAAAUGGUAAUGGAGCAAGAUUUGUAGAAGAUGCCAUAUUGGAAGGUUGUGAUUUCGGAAGGUCUGAGGCAUCGUCUUCCAAGACACUUUGUGCUGCCUCAUUCAAUAACCCAAGAUACAGUCUUAGACGGUUACCUCAUACCAAAAAAUGCUACUAUAAAUUUCAGGGUUAUGGACAUCAAUCUAAACCCAAAAAUAUGGGAAGAUCCAAAAGAGUUCAAGCUCGAAAGGUUCUUGAAAAGUUUGGAGGGGAAGAGAGGGAUAUGGACGCUGCUAGAAAUCACGACGGUAAUGAGAGCUCUCAAUUCUAUGACUCCAAAAUGUUCUGAUUAGAGGGAUCUUCAGAUAUGAAUCGCAAAUAACACAUCAUCGACCUCAUCACGCAUGGGAUAGAGUUCAUUAGAAUGAUUUGAUUUCCAAGUCUCCAUACUAUCAUCAAUAAGCAUACUACCACCAAGCAUGGAUUCGUCUACAGUGGCCUGAAGCUACAUUGAUAAAUUGAUGAAUCUCAAAGGAGAGUCGAGAUCUGGUCUAAAUCUGGUUGCCAUAAAGAAAGGAAACUGUCAGAGCUCUUGGUUUUAGUUUAGAUUAUAGGAUUUUUGCUAGCGGUAAAGGUUGAAACAAUGAGUGUGGGAUUGGAGUUUGGGAUCAGAUUACAUGGAAACAGAUUGAUUUCUUCGACAAACCUAUUGGUUGGUCUCUUGGUGAUGCUGACAAGCUUCAAUGGCUGCAAAGAACCAACUGUUUGAUGGUGGCAACUCGGUUUCCCAACGGACAGAAUUGAGAAUGGGAAAGGAAAGGUAGUAGUGGCACACGAUUGCAUGUGAAGAAAAUUCUCUGACAUAUACAGAAGGACGUCACUCAUAUAUAAAGGAUUUUAUGCCAUUCGAUGGAAGAACAACCACCUUUCUCCAGGUUACACAGCCACAAACAGUCCACCUAGAACACCACGCAUCCAGUUUUCAUCCACACAUAUGCCACUUUGAGAAAGCCACAAUCCACGCCAUUGCUCGGAAACGUAAGUUGGAAUUCCGUUCUACUUAAAUCUUGAUUUAUUACAUAAAAAAAAAUUGUUGAUUGCAAUUGGGUUUGGGUUUUGAUUCGUUAUGUCAGAUUGAUAGGGUUUGAAUUAUUUAGUUCCAGUUUCGAAUUCAUCAGAUUAGAUUAGAGAGGUUUGAGUUUAAUCAAGUUAUGAUUUUUAUCCAUUAUAUUGAUUAGAAAAGUUUGGAACUUCUUGUUUUUGAUUUGGCUUUGGUUCAUUAUGCUAGCUAGGAAAGCUUGAAUUUUAUUUAAUUUCAUUUAGAUUUUUCACAUUAGUUUGAAAAAUUAAAAUUUUGUUUUGAUUUUUUAUGAUAGUUUGGAAAGUUAUGACCUUUGUUUUAAUUUAAUGUUGAUUCAUUAUUUUAGUUUGAAAGUUAUGAUUUUGUUUAAUUUAGUUACGAUUUAUUAUUUUUAGUUUGACAAGUUAGAAUUUUUAAGUAUUUGUUUGGAUAAUUCUUGAUGAUAAUGGAAAAGUUAGAAUUUUUAAGUGUUUGGAUAAUUCUUGGCGAUAAUGGAAAAGUUAGAAUAUUUAAUAAGUGUUUGGAUAAUUUUUUAUGAUAGUGGAAAAGUUAGUAUUCUUAAAUAUUUUUUUUAAAAAAAAUAAUUCUUGAUGAUAGUUAAAAAUUUAGAAUUUUGAUUAGUAUUAGUUUUGCUUUGUUCUUAGUUGGAAAAUUCAUAAUUUCAGUUAGUUUAGUUUCAAUUCAUCUUUUAGUUUAGAUGUUAUUAAAAUUCUAGUUUAUUAGUUCAAUUGAUUCCGUGCUACUAUUUCCAUAUCCUAAGUUUGUUAAUUUUAAUUCAUGAUUCAUCAUUUUUUUAGUUUAUAAGUUUUAGAAUUUAAGUUGGCUAAUUUAUUUCACUUUGUGUUGAUAUAUUCAUGUUUAAAAAAGAAAAAAAACUUGUUGAUCACUCUAGUUUUGAUUGAUCUUGUUUUAGUUGAUAGUUUUUUUUUUAGAAUUUUAAUUAGUUUGUUUGGUCUCAUACUAUUUGGUUCAUGUUUUAAGAUUGUUAAUUUCAAUUUUUUAUUAAUUCUAUGCUUUAGAAUUGUAGCCAAUUAGUUUAAUCUAUCCCCAUGUUAUCAUUUCGUCUUUAAAAAUAGUUAAUUUUAGUUUUUGAUUGAUUUUAUUUAGUUUAUGUGUUUGUUUUCUUUUAUUUUAUUGAUUAGUUUAGUCGAUUGUAUCUUGUUAGAUUUAUGACUUAAAAUCGUCAAUAUUAGUUGAUAUGUGUUGUUAGUUUUGUUUUAAAAGUCAAAUAAUAUUUGCGAUUGAUUUAUUUUAUCUUAAGUUUAAAUGUUUUUAAAGUUCCAGUGCUUGUAAGAUCUAAAAGGUUUUGGUUUAUCACUUUGGUCAUCCUUUUUCAAAUUCAAUUUCUAGAGGCCAUCAGAAAAUAAUGAAGAUUGACCUCCAUUCUCACCACUUAAGUUUGCUUGGUUGUCAAAAAUUCUACUUUGUGAUUUUGUUUAUUUUAUUUUGCUUGUUUCUUAUCUUUGUUGUUUGGAAAUUAAUUUCUUUUAUUUAAAAAAAAAUACUUUUCUCAAAAGAUCCCUUUGAUAAUCUGUUUUAAAAAUUCAUUUAGAGUCAUUGGAAUCAAAAUCUCAUUUUCUUAAAUAAUGUGCAACCAUGUUUAGAUAGGUUUACAUCUUUCUCAGUUUUCAAUCAAAGCUAUGGUUUUGAGUAAGACACGACUCCAAGCUUGUGGUCCCAAAUAAAUUGGAUAAUUCUAGCCUAGAUUAGUGUAUAUCAAUUGGGGAAUUGGUGGAACCCAUACAUAAGAAAAUUUUUCAAAACUCAUCUUUGCUGUCACCUUUGCUAUUUGAUGAAAUCAUGUCUAUUUAUUUUUUAGCAAUUAUAUACAAGAUGUAUGUGAUAAUUGAUGAUUUCGUAUACUUUGAUCAUUUUUGCUAUGCUAAUUAGAUAAUAAGCAUGCUAGGAUUUCUUUAUUUUAUUAUUUAUUAUCUAACCCCUCAUGUAUUGUGGAAACAUGUUACAAGUUAUCUAUGCUAUCCAGGUACGCCCCCUAUCACCCAUCUUCUAAAUUUUGUGAAUAUGCUUGUCACUGUGAACCGUGCCUAUGUUUAAUAGUGCUUGGGUGUCUUGAUACAUUGUUUUAUUGUUCGAUUAUUUAUGAUAAAACGCAUGCUGGAUGAUAUACUAUUUGAACUAACUUUGAUGUCUUGUGAUAACGCUUAAGAAGCAGUCCAAGUACGCACCCUAAAUCUUCUUUAUGAUUAUGAUUGGUUUUCAUGUUUGGCAUGCUUUUUGAAAUCACCUAGCCUACUUACGUAUCUAUAAACAACCAAAUUAAUUACCACAUUUCCCUCAACUUAGUCGGUAGAGCCCUUUGUAGGGCUUGGAGGGGUGCUACCUUUUAGAGGUACCUUCCCAAUAGGUAACCUGAUCUCCGGACCUAGACUUGGGUUUUUCAAAGACAAGAUUUUCCAAAAACUAUGGAGUCACUUUUUUUUGGGUUUUCUUUCUUGUUUCAUUUUCCCUUUAAAAUAAAAAUAAAAUAAGUGGCGACUCCGACGUUUUCCAAAACUAUUUUUUCACCAAUAAAAGCGAGUCUCGCCGAUUGAGUGGGGGUGCAUGUGAAAAAUGCGAGUCCACAAAUUGGCGAGUCCACUAGGGAUCUUGAGGAUCAAGCUUGAACACUAGUUGAGGAAAAUAUUGCGUUUAAUUGGUUGAUUAGAGGGUAUCCCCUCUUUUUAGGCAAGAUGAUCCGAUUUGCUUGCUUGUUUUGUUUGCUAUCUUAGCAUGUUUGAUUAUCUUGAAUGAUCACUUGACUGCUCGCUCACUUCAACAUGAUUCACUCUCACAUAUGAUAGAUAGAACUUUGUUUAUAUGAUAUCUAUUUGCCUGGUAUGAUUGCUUGUUGCAUGACAACCAUUCCACUUGCCUGAUGUAUGAUUGUUUGUUUAUGUUUACCUUCUCACUUUAGAUCUUAGGUUUUUCGGAUUCACCCACAUCCUUCACUAUGCCCUUUAGAUAAUCCUUGAGUGUUGAGAUAUGAGAGAGCCUUCACCAUUAAGAAACCCCCUAGGGACACGAGGAAAUGCAUGUGUGGAGUGAUGACCACCUUGUAUGGAAGUACCCCGUCUCCUUGGAGGCAUGUAGAGGGUUGCGUACCACCGGAGGGUACGAUCGCUUCUACUAAGGAUCCUUUAACCCACCCAUUUUAUCUUAUAGAGCCACCUUAACCUUAUAGAUUGGCCUAGAUCCAAUUAAGAUUUCACUUCUACACAUGGGUGCAUUUGUGGACCUUCAGAGUUGCCUUAGUCACAAUUGGGUUCAGUUAUCCUUUUCAUGGUCUCUUUUGGUGUGCUAAGAGAUUGGUACAUAUUUGAGUUUUAGUUAGGCCACCUUUCUGCAUUGUGAUUAGUGCGUUUCCACUUCUUUUAAGUUUCUUUCAUGUCAUAUCUCUUUUCAUACCUUUGUACCUUAUAGGAGUGUUAUUCAUUUUGGUUCAAAGCAGUCAAGUAUGGAUCCUCAACAUGAUAUAAUAGAUCAACUUACAGUCACCAUGACUCCAUUCAGGAGGCAUUAACAGGUUUGAGCUAGAGGAUUGAUGGACAGUGAGAUAGAUAACCUCUAGUUCAGGAUGGGAUGUCGUGUGAUUCAUUAUUGCCCAUCCCCACCACCCAAUUAGCCAGUGACAUUGUUGAGGGUGACAUCGUACAUAUGAUGAGUUUAGUGGAUUAUUGGUCAAAGUUUAUCAGAUGAGAGUUCUUAUAGAGGAUGUUAGUUUUUUCUAUAAGAUGGGUGAUUUGAUUGACAUGGUUUUCUUCAUGACGAGCUUGAGAUGGAUGUAUUGGAUGACAGUUGGAUGGUUAGCACAGAUUAGCAAGAGAUAGUUCAAUCUCUUGAUAUGUUUAAGAUCUUCAUCAUUGAGAGUUUAUAAGAUAUUCGGUUUAUUUAUGUUGGGGCAUCCUGCUUAUGUUGAUGACGUGUUUGAGGACGAUGCUUAGCCCAGUUAUGGUCAUGAAGAUUCAUCUAUUCCAGGAGGCCCUAAGGACUUACUUGGAACACCAUAUGUCCUUAUAGAGUUGACCCCAAAGAGGAAAUAUGAUUGUCAUAUUUGGAUAAAGACCAGUUCUUAGACCCUACCAAUGUGGAUCAGCUAAAGAAGUAUUACAUUUGAGACUGUGGUCGCAGAAUGGGUGACAAUCAUUUUGGUUAGCCUUACACUUUAUCACCUUUAUCUAUAUAUUAGAUCAUUUCUAGCCCAUUGAGCCUCACGUGGUACAUUAAAGCCUUUUUUUCUUUCUUAUAACCUUGAUCACCAUUUCUACACUUAGGUUGGGGCCCUUUGAUGUAUAACCGUGCUUUGCUAGGAAAGUCUCAUGAGCUUUAGACUUAUAGGCCUAUCUUCUCAUUCUUGUUACCAUAUCCUUAUUAUCCCGUUUGUUCUAUUUUACUAUCAUCACAUUUUCAUUCUCUUUCUUACUUUUAUCAUUAUUUGCUUCAUCUUAUCUCUUCUCUUCUUUGGGUUGACAAUUCUUCACAUCUUGGUGUAAAAAGGGCAAUCAUAUCACUCCAUUCAUCCCAUCAUUUGGCAUUGAUUCGAAUAUUUUAGUUUGAAAGGUUGUCUCGUGGGUUGGGGUUCAUGUAUUCAUUAGUGACUUGAGAGAGUUUAUUUAUUCCUUAUAUCUUUCCCAUUGGAGUUCGAUUUAUUGAUGAUUAGAGUAUGUGCAUAAAAAAAAAUGUAAUGAUAUGUUCGUAUAUGGUAUCUUGCUCCAUUAGGCACUUAUGUCACCUUUUAAGGUCUAUUUAUUGGAUAUAUUUGUCAUUGUGGAUUCUUAUGAGAUUUUUAUAUGAGUUUUCACUCCUUGAGUCACUCUUGUUAUGCACUUAGAGUGUCGAGGGUUCAUGUGAGAGUUCAACGAGAUCCUAUGCUUCUUGGAUCAUGGUUGAUAUGUAUUAGGUAUGAGAGAUGAGUAACCUUUUUACUAGGGUCUUCGGAUCAUUGUCCUAUCCUCCAUUCCAUCAUUGGUGAUAUGACUUUCCUUUAUUGUACUAAUAUGGGUUGAUCAUCAUUCAUUCCACUUUCUUAUUGGCUUUUUUUUUGUGUCCCAUCACCUUUUUCCAGAUCUUCGUUCCAUCUUUUAUCCAUUUCCUACAUAUUGAUACACAUUUCUUAUUUGAUACCUUCUUCACAUCAUUCACAUGUUUCAUUGAUGGUUUGACCACUUAUCCUUUUUCUUGUUCCGCCAUAGACAUUUCCUUUGGUUACCUUUAGGUCCAUGGCUCAUGAGAUUUUUCUAUGCAUUACAUCUUGUACACGAGGGUAUGGGUUUGAUCAUUGGGUAUUUGAGCCUAGUUUCCCUUCAUUUCUUUCAUCCUAUCACCCUGGCCUACAUUACGUCCCGUGUCUUAAGACCACCCUAAGGCCAUGAGAUCAUAUGCUAUCUUUGACAGCCUCUACUUAGGCUGGUGUUUGGGAUUUGGUUUACAUAUAGACGUCAUCCCGUUUCUUCUUCUGGGAGAUGCUUCUUUGAUGCUUGGAGGUGAUUUAGCGAUGGAUGUAGACGAUUGCUUCAUCUUAUGGAUGAUAUUUGACGUUGUCUGGAUUUCCAUUCUACUGUGUAUCAGCUAUCAUACUGGGGCAUAUUCCCCUUUCAUUUGGUUGAGAUGAGCUCCUACUUCAAGCCUGGGCAUUUUCACCAAUCAGAGAUCCCUAGUGGAGUAUGUUGAGAUGAUAUCAGUUUUAGUGGAGCAUUGUGGGGCUCAUUGACGGUUUUCAUGAUUCUAGGUUCCAUUUAUGGAGUAUUUUUGAGAUGGACUAGUGGAUUAUUGUUGAGCUGGAGAUAGUUGAUUGAUGAUGUUAGAUAGAUCUUUUUAUUGUGCAUUGGUUACACACACUAGGGCACAUUUCCACAUUUCUCCAGGGUUCCUAGUUGUUGUUAGACGGUAUGGCUAUCAUUAUUCAUGGUUAUAGAGAUGUUUGAUUGGUUUUGAUAGAUUCUUUAUUAUACAUCGAAUAUCCAUACUAGAGCAUAUUUUCCUCUCCUUGUUAAGAUUUUGUUUGCACAGUGGUAUGAGGAUGGAUGAUUGGUGUUAGUUAUCUACCUCAUGACUUUGACAUCAGAUUUUAUACUGGGGCAUACUUCCUCAUUUUCUUUUAGUAUCCUUGAGAUUAGGAUAGCGGCCAGCUUGGUUUUAGAUUGAGUAUUAGUAUGGGGCUUCCGACGAUUGGCUGUAUCAAGGCCUCCCUACAUGGAUGUGUUGAGAUAGAGAUGGAUCGCAUCAAGUUUCCCCUAAGGUGCAUAGGUGGAUCUUUUAGCAUGAUGUUCAUGAGAUAGAUUGCUUUCAUUAUUGUUACCUUACAGAUUGGGUUAUCUAGAUGAGCAGUAUUUUUGUACACUUCGAGAUUUGCUUUUAGAUGAGUUAUGAUAUACACACUCCGAGAUUUACCUUUAGAGGUUUGUCGCCAGAGCAACUUGUGAGACAUAGAGAGUUCUUUAAGUUCAGAUUUUUCAGAGGUCUGUCAUGAUGCAUCUGUUUUUGACCCAUUGAUUUCAGCAAAUGAUUGGUUUAUUGGUUAUUUCAGCAGUACAAGCACUCUAGAUAUUGGGCCAUAUUUCCUUUUCUAAGUUCAGUAGUCCAACCUUUGGCACUUUAAGCAUACGACUUUGAGCCCAUUUGCUUCCUAUCCACUUUCGAGUUGGUCGUCUUUAUCUAUGCCUUCUAGACCCUACAUCGUGUAGCCCUGAGCUAUCCAUUCCUUCUAAACCUUGAGUCUUAUAGCCUUGAUCUAUCCAUUCCUUCUAUACCCUGAGCCAUGUAGCCCUGAGCUCACGACCUAGAGUCGUUUUUCUCAUUUACGACCUAGAGUUGUUUUUUCUCAUUUAUGACCCAAAGUCAUUUUUUUUCCAUUUAGAGCCCAGAGCUCACGACCCAGAGUCAUUUUUCUCAUUUAUGAUCCAGAGUCAUUUCUUUUCCAUUUAGAGCCUAGAGCUCACAACCUAGAGUCGUUUUUUCUCAUUUAUGACCUAGAGUCAUUUCUUUUUCAUUUAGAGCCCAGAGCUCAUGACCUAGAGUCGUUUUUUCUCAUUUAUGACCUAGAGUCAUUUCUUUUCCAUUUAGAGCCUAGAGCUCAUGACCUAGAGUCGUUUUUCUCAUUUAUGACCCAGAUUCAUUUCUUUUCCAUUUAGGGCCCAAAGCUCAUGACCUAGAGUCGUUUUUCUCAUUUAUGGCCCAAAGUCAUUUCAUUUCCAUUUAGAGCCUAGAGCUCACGACCCGGAGUCAUUUUUCUCAUUUAUAACCCAGAGUCAUUUUAUAUUUUUUUUCCAUUUAGAGCCUAAAGUCGUUUUUCUCAUUUAUGACCCAAAGUCAUUUUGUUUUUCCAUUUAGAGCCUAGAGUCAUUUUUCUCAUUUAUGACCUAGAGUCAUUUCUUUUCCAUUUAGAGCCUAGAGCUCACGACCCAGAGUCGUUUUUCUCAUUUAUGACCUAUAGUCAUUUUUUUUCCAUUUAGAGCCCAGAGUCAUUUCUUUUCCAGUUAAAGCCUUGAGCUCACAACCUAGAGUCAUUUUUUAUCAUUUAUGACCCAGAGUCAUUUCUUUUCCAUUUAGAGCCUAGAGCUCAUGACCUAGAGUCGUUUUUCUCAUUUAUGACCCAAAGUCAUUUCUUUUCCAUUUAGAGCUUAGAUUCGUUUUUCUCAUUUAUGACCUAGAGCUCACGACCUAGAGUCGUUUUUUCUCAUUUAUGACACAGAUUCAUUUCUUUUCCAUUUAGAGCCUAGAGCUUACGACCCAUAGUCGUUUUUCUCAUUUAUGACCUAGAGUCAUAUUUUUUCCAUUCAAAGCCUAGAGUCGUUUUUCUCAUUUAUGACCCAGAGUAAUUUCUUUUCCAUUUAGAGCCUAGAGCUCAUGACCUAGAGUCGUUUUUUCUCAUUUAUGACCCAGAGUUAUUUCUUUUCCAUUUAGAGCCCAGAGCUCACGACCUAUAGUUGUUUUUUCUCAUUUAUGACCUAGAGUCAUUUCUUUUCCAUUUAGAGCCCAGAGCUCACAACCUAGAGUCAUUUUUCUCAUUUAUGACCUAGAGUCAUUUCUUUUCCAUUUAGAGCCCAGAGCUCACGACCUAGAGUCGUUUUUCAUUUAUGACCUAGAGUUAUUUCUUUUCCAUUUAGAGACCAGAGCUCACAACCUAGAGUCGUUUUUCUCAUUUAUGACCCAGAGUCAUUUCUUUUCCAUUUAGAGCCUAAAGCUCAUGACCCAAAGUCUUUUUUCUGAUUUAUGACCCAAAGUCAUUUCUUUUCCAUUUAGAGCCCAGAGCUCACGACCCAUAGUCGUUUUUUCUCAUUUAUGACCCAGAGUCAUUUUUUUUCCAUUUAGAGUCCAGAGCUCACAACCUAGAGUCGUUUCUCUCAUUUAUGAACCAAAUUAAUUUCUUUUCCAUUUAGAGCCCAAAGUUCAUGAUCCAGAGUCGUUUUUUUCAUUUGACUUAGAGUCAUUUCUUUUCCAUUUAGAGCCCAGAGGUCAUGACCUAGAGUUGUUUUUCUCAUUUAUGACCCGAAGUCAUUUCUUUUUCAUUUAGAGCCUAGAGCUCACGACCCAAAGUCGUUUUUCUCAUUUAUUACCUAGAGUCAUUCAUUUUCAUUUAGAGCCCUGAGCUCACAACCUAGAGUCAUUUUUCACAUUUAUGGCCCAGAGUCAUUCUUUCCACAUAGAGCCUUAAGCGCGCGACAUAGAGUUGUUCCAUUUUUGUGACUGCGACCCUUUGUUCCGAGCUUACUCUCGUCAUGUGCUAGGACAAAAUCUUUAGUUAUUUUCUUUUAGUUCUUUGGUAUAGUUCAUUUUGCUCCACUCAUUAUUCGUAUUUUUACUCACAUUCCCUCCACUCGUGAUCUCUACCGAAAAGGGGCAUAUUUGUAGACCCUUCAUUUUGUCAUCCUAGCACAUGUCCUAUUAGGUAUUUGUCUGGUACUUUACGACACUUCCUUGGUGGCCCAUUACUACUCAUGUAGCCUUUCUUUUCUAAGCCACCUUGGGGAUUUUGGUUAAAGGAUUUAUCUAACCCCAUUGUGACUCUUAGCAGCCCUAAUUUAACCUUAGGCCCACUUGGCCCAUUAGGCACCACUGAUUACUACUCAAAAAGUGCUAUUUGAUAGCUUAUAAUUAAUCCUUUUAAACACUUUUGAGUAGUAGUUUUGGCCUUUUAACUCAAUUGGCAUGUUAAGGACCCUUGAAAGCAAUUUUAAUCACUUUGUGUAAGUUUUGGUGUUUUUGUUAGUAAUUUGAUCACCAAAGCAAUUCAAGUUUGAGGAGAGUUUUGAGGAAUCUUGGGUAAAGCUUAGAAGUCAUUUGCCAAGAGUAAAUCCGGAUGGCAAGGAGAAAAAGUAAAGAGAAUCUGCCAUGAAGCAUAUUCUUGAUGACAGUCGUAGCAGCCACUUUUGGAGUACUUUCUGAAGUCCAAUUGAUGCAUGCUAUAUACCAUUUCAAAGCUCAGGAAGUCAACAAUCCAAUGCUUUAAACGGUGCGUAAUUUGGAGUUGAAACAAAGAAGUUGAAGCCAUUGCAAGCCAAUCACUCCAAGCUGAAGGAAGCAUUUUCCAAAGUGUUGCGAAAUCACCCUUUUGUUGCGAAGUGAUUCCGCAGCCUUUUUGUACAGUAGGGUGUAUUUCCUUCUGAAGUUGCCCGAUAUAUGCCGCGAGAGGGAAGCUGGGAACCUCAAGGUGGAAGCCAUCUUCGCAGCCCUGCGAAGAUAGCAUGUUGUUGCGAAAUGAUUUCGCAGCCCUUCUUGAGUGUCUACGAAAUCUCGCAGACACCAUUUUCUCUUGCGAAAUGGUUCCUGGAGCAUCCCGAUAUUUGCUACUGACAUUGGGAGAUAUUUUACAUCAGAUUUUUGUUGUCUAAAUCCCAAAAUACUCCUUGUAAGCCACCAAUUAUAAGAUUCCUUAGCUUUUAAGUUAGUAAAAAGAGAAAAUAUCUAUGUAAUAAUUAGUUUUAUAUUAUGUUCAUAUAAAUACCUCUCGGGAGCCUGUUCUCAGGGGCGAUCCUUUUGUAAAGUUUUGGGUAAGCAAGUAAAGUUCAGUUCUUUGUAUUGCCUUACCUUCUCACUUUGUAUAUUUUAUUUUCUUACUAAGUUAUGAACUCUCUGAGGAGUUUUCCCUAGAGAAUGAGUAACUAAACCUCUAAUUCCUUGGAGCUAAGGUUGCCGGGGAAGGUUCCAAGUGCAAGAAUGCAAAGCUUUGUGGUUUUAGCUAGUAAUGAAGAGGAAGUGAAAUCCUUUAGUGAUUUCUAUGCUUUUAGUUAACUUAAAACACCUUAGAGUCAUCUGGGCCAACACUUGGUAAGGCAAGUGAUUUCCAACCAUGGAAAUGCACUAGUUUACCCCUUGCGAGCCUCUGGGAGGUGACUUUAAGGUAGGAUUUUCUAGAAUAGCCAACACUUGGUAAGCUUUUGGACUCCAAGGAGACAUCCAUUAGUUAUCUCUUGCGAGCUUUUGAAGGGAAGUCCAAGGUUAAAGAUCAUCUUGAAUGGUAAGUGCUCGUGAGAGGCAUGAACCAUUGCAAGUUGCAUCAGUGAGAGAAUUAAAGCUGAAAUCCAAUUAAAGGAUGUAUCUGUACAACACCGGUUAGAGACUUGACUAUAUGUUGAAUCUCUAACGCGAGGAAAGGAACCAUCUGACCGGAGCUAUGUCUUUUGCAUGAGGAACCACCCCAGUGAACCUAACUCUCCAAGGAAUGCUUUUCUUCCUAAGUUAUUCCGAGUACUUGUUAUGUUAGUUAGUUUAAAUCUUUACCAAUCAAAGUUUGUGUUUUAUUUCUUAAGCUAACCUUGAAAUGAAACAAGACCAAUUCACUUGGAAUUGGUAUCAUUGAUAGCUUGCUAAUCCUUCCCAGUGAACGAUCCUAGAGCCGCUAUACUAUAGUAGCUUUUUCUUUGCUACCCUAGUAUAUGGUGUUAUAGGUUAUAAAUUUUAUUGAUUACUCCCUCAAUCAAGGAGCACCAGCUGGACACGAAUCAGCUGAGACACCAAUUGGGCACGAAUCAAAUGGCGCCGUUGCCGGGGAAGGUGUCAAGUUUCUAGAGAUACCAUUUUUGAGCACUUGUGAUUUUCAUCACAAGUUUGGUAACGUUUCUUUCAUUUUACUAAUUCUCAUUCUUUCUUUACUAAUUCAUAAUCCAAGUUUAUCUUUUAAAUUCAGCUUAGUUUAAUUUUGUUGUUGUUGUAGCCCUGUUUUCUUUUGUUGUCCUUUAUUUUCAUUUUAGUUGCAGAUAGAUACUAGUUGUGUAUGCCAAAGUGGAUACGAGACAGUGGAGGAAGGCUUGUUAAGUGUGAUAUUCCUCAGAGAAAAGAAUUCGAAUUAAGCUUGAAUAUCAUGGAAACUACACCUGAAGAUCAGCAUAGUCACCAAGGUCGUCAAGACAAUCUCAAUGAAUUCAGAUCAAUGAGGGACCGCAUGCAUCCACCUCGUAUGAGUGCACCAUCAUGUAUAGUGCCCCCUACAGAGCAGCUAGUGAUCAGACCGUAUCUUGUUCCACUUCUACCAACUUUCCAUGGGAUGGAAAGUGAGAAUCCGUAUGCACACAUCAAGGAAUUUGAAGAUGUUUGUAAUACAUUCCAAGAGGGAGGAGCUUCAAUUGAUUUGAUGAGGCUUAAGUUAUUUCCUUUUACUUUAAAGGAUAAGGCCAAAUUUUGGCUUAAUUCUUUAAGGCCAAGGAGUAUCCGUACUUGGACUGACUUACAAGCUGAAUUCCUCAAGAAAUUUUUUCCCACUCAUAGAACAAAUGGCUUGAAAAGGCAAAUUUCAAACUUCUCAGCUAAAGAAAAUGAAAAAUUCUAUGAGUGUUGGGAAAGAUACAUGGAAGCUAUAAAUGCUUGCCCUCACCAUGGCUUUGAUACUUGGCUAUUGGUGAGCUAUUUUUAUGAUGGUAUGUCCUCCUCAAUGAAGCAACUCCUCGAGACAAUGUGUGGAGGAGAUUUCAUGAGCAAAAAUCUAGAGGAAGCUAUGGAUUUCUUAAGCUAUGUAGCUGAUGUUUCAAGGGGAUGGGAUGAACCAACCAAAGGAGAAGUGGGUAAGAUGAAGUCUCAACUGAAUGCUUUCAAUGCAAAGGCUGGGAUGUAUACCUUGAAAGAAGAUGAUGAUAUGAAAGCAAAGAUGGCAGCUAUGACAAGAAGAUUGGAGGAGCUGGAGCUGAAAAGAAUUCAUGAAGUGCAAGCUGUUGCUGAAGCACCAGUGCAAGUGAAGCUGUGUCCUAAUUGUCAAUCAUAUGAACAUUUGGUGGAGGAAUGCCCUACAAUUUCAGCUGAAAGGGAGAUGUUUAGAGAUCAAGCAAAUGUUGUUGGACAAUUCAGGCCCAAUAACAAUGCGCCUUAUGGAAAUACCUACAACUCAAGUUGGAGGAAUCAUCCAAAUUUCUCAUGGAAGGCCAGAGCAACUCAAUACCAACAGCCGGAUCCACCAUCUCAACAAUCUUCAAGUCUUGAACAAGCAAUGGCUAAUCUCAGCAAGGUAGUGGGAGAUUUUGUUGGAAAGCAAGAAGCCACCAAUGCUCAAAUCUAUCAAAGAAUUGAUAGAGUAGAGAGUAUGUUGAAUAAAAGGAUGGAUGGAAUGCAAAAUGAUAUGAACCAAAAGUUUGAUAACAUCCAAUAUUCAAUUUCAAGGGUCACAAAUUUGAACACACUGUAAGAAAAGGGAAGAUUUCCUUCUCAACCCCACCAAAACCCUAAAGGUGUCCAUGAAGUGGAAAGCCAAGAGGGAGAAUCAUCACAGAUGAAAGAUGUCAAAGCCUUGAUUACUCUAAGGAGUGGUAAAAAAAUUGAGCAGCCAACACCCAAGCCACAUGUUGAGAAAGAAGAAGAGAUAAAGAAAGGGAAGGAAAUGGAAGAUAAAGAGAGUGAGAUCAGUGAAGAAAAGAAGGACUCUGAUUCAAUAAUGAAUGCAAUUCCAGAGAAGGAACUUAUGAAGGAAGAAAUGCUGAAGAAAUCAACUUCUCCACCUUUUCCUCAAGCAUUACAUGGGAAAAAGGGGAUUAGAAAUGCAGCUGAAAUCCUUGAAGUAUUGAGACAAGUGAAAGUCAAUAUUCCACUGCUGGAUAUGAUUAAACAAGUUCCAACGUAUGCAAAAUUCCUAAAGGAUUUAUGUACUAUCAAAAGAGGGUUGACUGUAAACAAGAAAGCCUUCUUGACUAAGCAAGUAAGUGCAAUCUUACAAUGUAAGUCUCCUUUGAAGUACAAAGACCCGAGAAGUCCUACCAUUUCAGUCAUGAUUGGAGGAAAGGUAGUGGAGAAAGCCUUGUUAGAUUUGGGAGCAAGUGUGAAUUUGCUUUCUUAUUCCGUCUACAAGCAAUUGGGACUUGGAGAGUUGAAGCCAACAGCAAUCACUUUAUCUCUAGCAGAUAGAUCAGUGAAAAUUCCAAGGGGGGUAAUUGAGGAUGUAUUGGUUCAAGUGGAUAAUUUCUACUAUCCAGUAGAUUUUAUUGUUCUUGAUACAAAUCCUACUGUAAAGGAAGGUAAUUUAGUUCCUAUCAUCCUUGGAAGGCCAUUUCUUGCUACCUCAAAUGCAAUCAUCAACUGCAGGAAUGGGCUGAUGCAACUCACUUUUGGCAACAUGAUACUGGAUCUCAAUAUUUUCUAUAUGUCUAAAAAGCAAAUCACUCCGGAAGAAGAAGAGGGUCCAGAAGAGCUGUGCAUUAUUGACACUUUGGUGGAGGAGCAUUGUAAUCAAAAUAUGCAAGACAAGUUGAAUGAAAGUCUUGUGAAUUUUGAGGAAGGUUUGUCUGAAUCUCCUACUAUGCUUGCUACUCUACAAAGUUGGAGAAGGAUAGAAGAGAUUCUACCUUUGUUCAAUAAAGAAGAAGAGGCAGUUGCUGAAACAGAAAUUCCAAAACUCAAUCUGAAGCCUCUACCUGUGGAGCUGAAAUAUACAUAUCUUGAAGAAAAUAAUCAAUGUCCUGUUGUGAUAUCUUCAUCUCUGACCAGUCAUCAAGAGAAUUGUUUAAUGGAAGUUCUCAAGAGGUGUAAGAAGACAAUAGGAUGGCAAAUAUCCGACUUGAAAGACAUUAGUCCUUUAGUUUGUACUCAUCAUAUAUAUAUGGAGGAGGAGGCAAAGCCAAUUCGUCAACUUCAAAGAAGAUUGAAUCCUCAUUUACAAGAGGUGGUGCGAGCUGAGGUGCUGAAGCUACUUCAAGCAGGAAUCAUUUACCCUAUAUCUGAUAGCCCUUGGGUGAGUCCUACUCAAGUGGUACCAAAGAAGUCAGGGAUCACAGUGGUUCAGAAUGAAAAAGGAGAAGAAGUUACUACACGCCUCACUUCAGGUUGGAGGGUGUGUAUUGAUUAUAGAAAGUUGAAUGCUGUAACCAGGAAGGAUCAUUUUCCAUUGCCAUUUAUUGACCAAGUGCUGGAGAGAGUCUCUGGACAUCCUUUCUAUUGUUUUUUGGAUGGGUAUUCAGGGUAUUUUCAGAUUGAAAUUGAUGUGGCAGAUCAAGAAAAGACCACUUUUACAUGUCCAUUUGGAACAUAUGCUUACAGGAGAAUGCCUUUUGGUUUAUGCAAUGCACCUGCUACAUUUCAAAGAUGUAUGUUGAGUAUUUUCAGUGAUAUGGUGGAGCGAAUUAUGGAGGUUUUCAUGGAUGACAUCACCGUAUAUGGAGGUACAUUUGAGGAAUGCUUAGUUAAUUUGGAAGCAGUUCUUCAUAGAUGCAUUGAAAAAGACCUGGUGCUCAAUUGGGAGAAAUGCCAUUUUAUGGUACGUCAAGGAAUUGUCCUUGGCCAUAUCAUCUCUGAAAAAGGCAUUGAAGUUGAUAAAGCAAAGGUGGAGCUUAUUGUCAAAUUGCCAUCCCCAACAACUGUAAAAGGAGUAAGGCAGUUCCUUGGCCAUGCAGGGUUCUAUAGGAGGUUUAUAAAAGGGUUUUCAAGUCUUUCAAAACCUCUUUGUGAGCUGUUAGCUAAGGAUGCUAAAUUUAUAUGGGAUGAAAGGUGUCAAAACAGCUUUGAUCAGCUGAAAAAGUUUUUAACAACAACUCCAAUAGUGAGAGCCCCUAACUGGCAAUUACCUUUUGAACUGAUGUGUGAUGCCAGUGACUUUGCUAUAGGAGCUGUGCUUGGCCAAAGGGAAGAUGGGAAGCCCUAUGUGAUUUACUAUGCAAGCAAAACACUGAAUGAAGCUCAAAGGAACUACACAACUACAGAGAAAGAAUUGUUAGUUGUGGUAUUUGCUUUGGACAAAUUUCGUGCUUAUUUAGUGGGGUCUUUCAUCAUUGUCUUCACUGACCAUUCAGCCUUGAAGUAUUUAUUGACAAAGCAAGAUGCAAAAGCAAGGUUGAUUAGAUGGAUUCUUUUGUUACAGAAUUUGAUCUUCAAAUCAAAGAUAAGAAAGGAGUGGAGAAUGUGGUAGCUAACCACCUUUCAAGGUUAGUUAUAGCACAUAAUUCCCAUCCCUUGCCUAUUAAUGAUGAUUUUCCUGAAGAAUCACUCAUGUUCCUAGUGAAAACUCCUGGUAUGCUCAUAUUGCUAAUUAUUUAGUAACUGGUGAAAUUNNNNNNNNNNNNNNNNNNNNNNNNNNNNNNNNNNNNNNNNNNNNNNNNNNNNNNNNNNNNNNNNNNNNNNNNNNNNNNNNNNNNNNNNNNNNNNNNNNNNNNNNNNNNNNNNNNNNNNNNNNNNNNNNNNNNNNNNNNNNNNNNNNNNNNNNNNNNNNNNNNNNNNNNNNNNNNNNNNNNNNNNNNNNNNNNNNNNNNNNNNNNNNNNNNNNNNNNNNNNNNNNNNNNNNNNNNNNNNNNNNNNNNNNNNNNNNNNNNNNNNNNNNNNNNNNNNNNNNNNNNNNNGGAAGAGCCCUUUCUUUUUAAGGUAUUGUGCAGAUCAGAUAAUAAGGAAGUGUGUCCCUAAAGAUGAGCAGCAAGGGAUUUUAUAUCAUUGUCAUGAGAAUGCAUGUGGAGGCCACUUUGCCUCUCAGAAAACAGCCAUGAAGGUGUUGCAAUCAGGGUUUACUUGGCCAUCUCUUUUCAAAGAUGCCCACAUCAUGUGUAGAAGUUGUGACAGAUGCCAAAGGCUUGGAAAGCUAACAAAAAGAAAUCAAAUGCCUAUGAACCCCAUUCUAAUAGUUGAGCUAUUUGAUGUAUGGGGCAUUGACUUCAUGGGACCUUUUCCAAUGUCUUUUGGUAAUUCUUACAUCUUGGUGGGGGUGGAUUAUGUUUCUAAAUGGGUUGAGGCAAUCCCCUGUAAACAAAAUGAUCACAGGGUGGUUCUCAAGUUUCUUAAAGAGAACAUUUUCUCAAGAUUUGGGGUGCCCAAAGCCAUAAUCAGUGAUGGAGGUGCUCAUUUUUGCAACAAACCUUUUGAAGCUCUGUUAUCCAAGUAUGGAGUGAAGCAUAAGGUGGCUACACCUUAUCAUCCUCAAACUUCCGGGCAAGUUGAGCUAGCUAACAGGGAAAUAAAGAACAUAUUGAUGAAAGUGGUGAAUUCCAGCAGAAAGGAUUGGUCUAUUAGGCUUCAUGAUUCAUUGUGGGCAUAUAGAACAGCUUAUAAGACUAUUCUUGGCAUGUCUCCCUAUCGUCUUGUCUAUGGCAAAGCAUGUCAUCUCCCUGUGGAAGUUGAAUACAAAGCUUGGUGGGCAAUAAAGAAGCUGAACAUGGAUUUGAUCAGAGGCGGAGAAAAGAGAUAUCUAAACCUUAAUGAGAUGGAGGAAUUAAGAAAUAAUGCUUAUAUCAAUUCCAAAGUUGCAAAAUAGAGGAUGAAAAAGUGGCAUGAUCAACUCAUCUCCAACAAGGAAUUUCAGGAAGGGCAAAGAGUUUUAUUGUAUGACACAAGACUCCAUAUCUUUCUUGGGAAGCUCAAGUCAAGGUGGAUAGGCCCGUUCAUAAUUCACCGAGUAUGUUCCAAUGGAGUGGUGGAAUUAUUGAAUUCAAAUGGCAAGGACACCUUCAAAGUCAAUGGAUAUCGUCUCAAGCCAUUCAUGGAGCCAUUCAAACCAGAAAAGGAGGAAAUCAACCUCCUUGAGCCUCAAAAAGCCUAAGCAAAGAAGGGUUUGCUGGACGUGGUUUACCACAGUCCAAAAUUUUUAUAAAUUUUGUAAAUUUUCAAGUUUUUUUCAUACAUUUGAUCUUAGUUUUUUAUCUUAAAUCAUGUUUUUAGGUGUGUUUUAAUCUUUUUGAAUGAUCUUAGGUGGAAGAAAUUUCAAGGAAAUUGAAAGAAAAAAAAAUCGGAUCAAAAUCGGAGCAAAAACAGAGCAAAAACAGAGCUCUGCGAGAUUUCGCAGCCUAAAGAAAACUUCUGCGAAAUGAGCAUUUUGUUGCCAAAUCAUUCCGCAACACUUUGAGAUUCUUUGCGAGAUUUUUCGCAGCUGCGAAGGCGAGUUUGGCACACAUGUGCCACUUCGCAGCAUAGGAGUCCCCAUUUCGCAGCUGCGAAACGUCUGCGAAGCGGUAAAACCCAGAUUUCGCAACAAAAGUCCCAUUCCGCAGGGUAUUUCGCAAUUGCGAAAGCGAUUUUGGCACACGUGUGCCACUUCGCAGCACAGUAACAUUAAUUUCGCAGCUGCGAAACGCAUUGCGAAGUGGCUGCGAAAAUGGCAUUUUGCUGCGAAACUCAAACUAACCCUUAGUCUUCUGUUAUUCCUAUUUAUACCGGUCAUUUGAGCUGCGAAAAGGGUUUCAAAAUCAGAGCGCGCCAUUCUCGCAGACCGUCCAUCUCCUUCCUCGAGCCUCACCGCGCAAGCCUCCGGUCAUCUUCUCCGACCAUCAGUUCCGGCCAACUUUCGGCAACCCGAAAUGGCGCGAACCAGAGGGGCCAAGUCUUCCUCCCCUUCAAACCGCAAGAGAAGCUUGCGAAAGGAGCCAGUUCCGGAUCCCAUUUCUGAGCCUUCGCAGCUGAAAGCAAUUCCUCCUCCGGUGAAGCCCGCGCCGCCAAAGCCACCGGCGAGACGUUACUUAACCAGGUCAGGAGGUCGGCCACUGCAAAAGAGGCCAAGGGUUGAAAGCUCAGAACCCAUUGACCUGACUGAAAAAUCUCCAGAGCCUUCGCCGGUUCCAUCUCCGGUAUCCUCGCCAAUUUCCUCUCCAGUAUCAUCUCCGGUAUCCUUGCCAGUUCCGUCAUCGGUGCCAUCUCCGGCGCCGCAAGCAAAAUCUUAGGAGCCUCAAGCGCCAUUUCCAGAGCCCCAAAUUCCGGCUGAAAUAGCUCCGGAAGAAGCAAUCAGGAGGCCAAUGCUAACUCAGCCCCCCAUUGAGGGAAAUUUGGAUUGUAGAGCUCGGUCAUUCCACUCAGAGCUAUGCUUUGACAUAGCCACAUUCCGAUUGCAGCCGGAGCUUGCACAGACAUUCAACCUGCUGAGGAGAUACCACAUGGAGCACCUACUGACUCCGAGAGACUUUUUCUACCCAAGGGUAGCCAUGGAUUUCUAUCAAUCCAUGACAACCAACCAGGUCAGGGAUCCAUCUUUAAUUCAUUUCACUAUUGAUGGGAGGCAUGGCAUAUUGGGAGCAUGCCAUAUAGCUGAAGCCUUGCAAAUUCCCUAUGAGCCAACCCAAUUCGAUAAUUUUAGAGCUUGGACCAGUCAUACUGAGCUGGAGAUGGUGCGCACCCUAUCCAGAGGGGCUGCCAAUCGAUCACAUCUGUUGAGGGGGGAGCUUCCUCCAAUCAUGUUUUUGAUUGAUGCAUUUUUGCGUCAUAACCUCUACCCAUUGCAGCAUUGGACUCAAAGAAGAGGAGUCCUCUUAGAAGCCCUGUACAAGAUGUCUGAAGGAUUUUUCUUUGGGCCUCAUCAUCUGAUUCUGGCAGCCCUUCUCUAUUUCGAAGAGAAGGUACACAAAAAGAAGUUUCAGAGAGCUGAUUGCAUUCCCCUCCUCUUUCCAAGGCUGCUAUGCCAAAUUCUGGAGCACUUGGGAUAUCCUUCUGAGCCUCAGUUGGAGCGAAAGCGCAUUUGCCGUGAGCUUUUUACUCUCGACAAAUGGAACAACAUGACAGCUUAUCGAGUUGACCAGCCUGAGCGCCCACAGCCGGCUGCAAGGAGAGCAUCCCCACGACACAUACCUGAGGGUAUAACAGUUGCUGCUCCUGCCAUUUGUAGAGCUCCACCAGCUGCUCCAGCUUCAUCUCAGCCAUCCACUUCAACUGAGCCGAGGAUGGCCAUACCCAUUUCUGAAUAUCGAGAGUUGUGCCGUGCAUUGGAGACCCUCACAGCAUCUCAGAGCAGUCUUGCUCAAGAGAUGGCAGCCAUUAGAGCAUGCCAAGAGCAGAUGUUGGCCACUCAGGCUCAACACACUGCCAUCUUAAGGCAGCUCCAGCUUCAUUUCGACCUGCCACCAGCUGUUGAGCCCUCCACUUCUACUCCAGCAGAGCCACACUCUCAUCCUCCAGAGCCUCAAGCCCCAGCUGAAGCACCAACUGAAGAGGCAGACCCAUCUGCCUAGCCCCAGCACCACCCACUCAUCAUAUCAUUAUAUAUAUAUCUACUAUCUUUGUUUUAUGUAUUUCGUUUUUUAGUUUGAAAGAAAUCCCAUUAUUUUGGUACUAUAUUUGGGAUUGCUUGUAUUACUUUUCUUUUGCAUUGUACUCAAAUGGAUUCAAAGUAAUACAAGUUUAAUAUUUCUUGUUAACAGUUAGCAUUAAGUUAUCCUUAUUUCCUUUUCUCACAUAUUCUAUUCUUUUUGAAACAUGUGGUUUCUCCAAUCAGUAUUCGAAUUUGAUAUUACUCAGGAGGUACCACUUCCUCCCUUUAAUUACAGUCACUCAUAUCACAUUGAGGACAAUGCUCAGUUCGGUUGGGGGGAAUGAGGAAGGAAGUAUGAUAAGUCUUUUUGGUAAUGUAAUUAUUUUGGUAAAUUAGUUGUAGUUUUUGCUUUUUACUCUUUUUACUCUAUUCUCCAUGAAUCUUGAGAAAAAAAUUUCAAAUUAAAACAGGAGAAAUUGAACUGUUGCUUUUCACUUGACUUAGAGUAUGGAUUAUGCUUACUAAAGUGGUUCAAUUGUUGAAACUUCUAUUGAAAUCAAAUUUAGUUAUUCCACUUUAAGCUAUUCACACACUGUGCACAUUAGAUUCCGAUUAUAAGAUGAAAAACUAUUUCCCUCUUGACUUAGGAUAAUUUUGGGACUUGGUAUAUUUGACCUCAUUUGAUAAAAAUUGAAACACCCUGCAAAAGGCCAAUGAGCCUUUGAAAUAAAGAAAGUUGUUUGCUUGCCUUAAAACCCGAGCAAGGUCUGAGGGGUAUAUGGUGAAAAUCUUUGAAGCUUGGUGCCCUAUGCCUUAAUUGGUUGGGAGUCACCGACCUCAAUGCUUGUUACAAGGGUGGAUAGGAGGAGUUAGCAUGUGGUAGAUGCUUGGGUAUUAGAAAUUCAUUCUCAAAAGUCCGGGGAAAAAUCCGAGGAGUUAGUGAUUGAAAGAUCCUUAAAGCUUGGUGCCCUAAACCUUAAUUGGUUGGGAGUCAUCGAUGGACCCCCAUUACAUGGACAAUUCAGAAAGAGUACCCCAUAAAGCCUCUCUAAAAAUAAAAAAAAAAAAGUGUGUUAUUUUUUUUAUUGAUUUUGGUCAGUUUGUUGAGUGUUGAAAAGAGAUAGGUUGGGGGGAGAGAUUAGUUUAGCAUAUUAUUCUCGGAAGCUAAGGAACCAAUACACAUAGAUUUUUGAGGAAGAAUAAAGUUUGGUUCUUUGAAAGUGGAAAUGAUUUUAAAACUUCAGUUUGCAUAAUGCAUUCCCUUGUUUGACAGUGUUUAGCAUAGUUUGUUAUAACUCUUGUUGAAAUUUGCUUUUAUAUUUCUUUAAGGUUUCAUGAGAGAAUUAGAUCAUCAUGCCACUUGAGAAUUGUUUUUGAUCAGCAUGAUGUUGUAAAUUAUAGUUUAAUUUGUUGUUUAUUUUCAUUUUUCUCUCCUAUAUUGCUAAGGGACUAGCAAUAUGUCGGUUGGGGGGAGUGAUUACUACUCAAAAAGUGCUAUUUGAUAGCUUAUAAUUAAUCCUUUUAAACACUUUUGAGUAGUAGUUUUAGCCUUUUAACUCAAUUGGCAUGUUAAGGACCCUUGAAAGCAAUUUUAAUCACUUUGUGUAAGUUUUGGUGUUUUUGUUAGUAAUUUGAUCACCAAAGCAAUUCAAGUUUGAGGAGAGUUUUGAGGAAUCUUGGGUAAAGCUUAGAAGUCAUUUGCCAAGAGUAAAUCCGGAUUGCAAGGAGAAAAAGUAAAGAGAAUCUGCCAUGAAGCAUAUUCUUGAUGACAGUCGUAGCAGCCACUUUUGGAGCACUUUCUGAAGUCGAAUUGAUGCAUUCUAUAUACCAUUUCAAAGAUCAGGAAGUCAACAAUCCAAUGCUUCAAACGGUGCGGAUUCGGAGUUGAAACGAAGAAGUUGCAGCCAUUGCAAGCCAAUCACUCCAAGCUGAAGGAAGCAUUUUCCAAAGUGUUGCGAAAUCACCCUUUUGCUGCGAAGUGAUUCCGCAGGCUUUUUGUAUAGUAGGGUGUAUUUCCUUCUGAAGUUGCCCGAUAUAUGCCGCGAGAGGGAAGCUGGGAACCUCAAGGUGGAAGCCAUCUUCGCAGCCCUGCGAAGAUAGCAUGUUGUUGCAAAAUGACUUCGCAGCCUUUCUUGAGUGUCUGCGAAAUCUCGCAGACACCAUUUUCUCUUGCGAAAUGGUUCCUGGAGCAUCCCGAUAUUUGCUACCGACAUUGGGAGAUAUUUUACAUCAAAUUUUUGUUGUCUAAAUCCCAAAAUACUCCUUGUAAGCCACCAAUUACAAGAUUCCUUAGCUUUUAAGUUAGUUAAAAGAGAAAAUAUCUAUGUAAUAAUUAGUUUUAUAUUAUGUUCAUAUAAAUACCUCUCGGGAGCCUGUUCUCAGGGGCAAUCCUUUUGUAAAGUUUUGGGUAAGCAAGUAAAGUUCAGUUCUUUGUAUUGCCUUACCUUCUCACUUUGUAUAUUUUAUUUUCUUACUAAGUUAUGAACUCUCUGAGGAGUUUUCCCCAGAGAAUGAGUAACUAAACCUCUAAUUCCUUGGAGCUAAGGUUGCCGGGGAAGGUUCCAAGUGCAAGAAUGCAAAGCUUUGUGGUUUUAGCUAGUAAUGAAGAGGAAGUGAAAUCCUUUAGUGAUUUCUAUGUUUUUAGUUAACUUAAAACACCUUAGAGUCAUCUGGGCCAACACUUGGUAAGGCAAGUGAUUUCCAACCAUGGAAAUGCACUAGUUUACCCCUUGCGAGCCUCUGGGAGGUGACUUUAGGGUAGGAUUUUCUAGAAUAGCCAACACUUGGUAAGCUUUUGGACUCCAAGGAGACAUCCAUUAGUUAUCUCUUGCGAGCUUUUGAAGGGAAGUCCAAGGUUAAAGAUCAUCUUGAAUGGUAAGUGCUCGUGAGAGGCAUGAACCAUUGCAAGUUGCAUCAGUGAGAGAAUUAAAGCUGAAAUCCAAUUAAAGGAUGUAUCUGUACAACACCGGUUAGAGACUUGACUAUAUGUUGAAUCUCUAACGCGAGGAAAGGAACCAUCUGACCGGAGCUAUGUCUUUUGCAUGAGGAACCACCCCAGUGAACCUAACUCUCCAAGGAAUGCUUUUCUUCCUAAGUUAUUCCGAGUACUUGUUAUGUUAGUUAGUUUAAAUCUUUACCAAUCAAAGUUUGUGUUUUAUUUCUUAAGCUAACCUUGAAAUGAAACAAGACCAAUUCACUUGGAAUUGGUAUCAUUGAUAGCUUGCUAAUCCUUCCCAGUGAACGAUCCUAGAGCCGCUAUACUAUAGUAGCUUUUUCUUUGCUACCCUAGUAUAUGGUGUUAUAGGUUAUAAAUUUUGUUGAUUACUCCCUCAAUCAAGGAGCACCAGCUGGACACGAAUCAGCUGAGACACCAAUUGGGCACGAAUCAACCACCCUAAACCCAUUUAGACACACUUGGUCCAUUAGGCACCUUAGGCAUACUUAGGCACCUUAGGCCCAUUCAGAUACACUCGGCCCAUUAGGUAGCACCUUAGGCCCACUUAGGCACCCUAGGCCCAUUUAGGUGCACUUGGCCCAUUAGGCACCACCUCAGGCCCACUUAUGCACACUAGGCCCACUUAGAUGCACCUGGCCCACUUAGGUUUUCCUAGUUUUACUUAGGUUACCUUUUUGGCAUAUCUUGCAUAUCUCACAUGGUCUGCAUGACUUACAUGACUCAUUUUUGUAAAAUCACAUGACUUGACUUUUUUACCUUUAUAUUUUUGUUUAUUUUAUUUAUUAUCUUGCCUAUUUCCUCUUUUAUUUUAUUUUCCUAUUAUUUUGUCACUUUUCCAUAAUACUUGUCUUUACUUAUUUAGUUUAAUUUAUUAUUUUGUUUAAAUGUUUUUAUUAUUAUUAUUAUUAUUAUUAUUCUUACUUUUACUCAUUUUUAUCAUGAUUAUUAUUAUUACUUUAUUUAAUCUAUUAACUUUGAAAUUUUGUAAGGAAAUUCACCAAUGGAAAGAUAAAAAGGUGCCUACGAUCUGAAACUCGAAGAGGGUAGCUACCAUAUUGAUUCCAAUAGUAGACAUAUGGAAGAAAUGAAUGGAGCCAUGUUAUGAGGAAGAUUCAACUAAUGUAUGAAAAAGGAAAUGAUGAGUAGAAAAGAAAAAAUGUAAGUCGUCUUUUGGAAAAAGAAUCACGUGAUGAUGGAAGGAGGCUUCAACAGUGUUCUAGGUCAAAGCAUACUUUAGACGAAAAAGGAAAAGAGAUGUUAUAUUUUAGGAAGAAUUGAGGUGGCAUAUUGGAUAUACAAGUUGUAUUUUGGAAAGGAUGGAGCAGGGGGGAAUUCUUGGAAGGAAAAGACAUUAUUUUUGGAGAUUCAACAGCGUUUUGGGAAGGAGGAAUCACGCUAGUCUAGAGAAGAAAAAUUUUCAACACAUCUCGAAGGAGAACGGGAAGAGAAAAAAAAAACAGUAGGAAGAGACCAGAGAGAACUGGAGGCAACUUCCCGGUUAGUUUCUUUUGGAGAUGAGCACUUUUAGGAUAUUGAGCAAAUGGUCCUUGGAUAAUAUCUAUGCCAACAUUAUCAGAAAUUGUGAUCCUUGAUGGCCCACUGAUGCUCUGUCCCAAAGAUGAUUCCCGUUUCUGACAAUGAUAGAUUCUUCAUUUUUGGACGUGUUUCUGUCUGACAAAUUUUCAACCAAUUCGAAGGAAGCUUGCGGUUGAGUACAAUCCGAGUUAGCCCGAGUAUGAUCCGCAUGCAGUCAAAUCUAUUCUUAGAAAAGGAUUGUCUUCAGGUGUGGAUGGGCAACUAGCAAAGGAAGCAACUAAAGCAGUUUCUACUGAGAAGCAGAUGAAUAGCAAGAGUGUUUCUCCACUUUGAGUUACCUUACUCGCAGGAUAUUCUCGAUUGGUAAAUACAGACCCAAAUUUUGUUGCAUUAUGGGAAUGCCAUGCUUGAAUACCCAUGAUGAGCGGACCAUUCACUACCCAAAUCCACUUAUCAAAGCCAACGACCCUCUAGAACCGUCACAAUCUUUUGGUUCUGAAUCUCCUACACUGCAUGUGUUAUCAAGAAACGGCCUUCUAACAUUCUUAUUGCUGCCGGCAUCUCUUGUAAAGCUAGUGGACAUAGCUCACAGUAGAACUCCAACUUUCUUACAAGUGCAUCCAAAUAUACCACCAGUGAAAGAAGUUGAUGAUUCACGGUCGGUUGCAUUGAUCAAAAUGCUUCCUCUAGGACCCAUUGCAGUUCCAUUCAUUGAAAACCUUCCAUGGCUUCGGAAAUCAUUCCCAUAACUCGAAUCCAUCAUUCCAGGUCUACACGCUAAGUAUGGACCGAUUAUCACCCUCUGAAUGGGCUUUCACUUGACUAUCUUCAUCUCCACCAAAUCUCUUAUCCACCAAGGCUGAUUACUACUCAAAAAGUGCUCUUUUAUAGCUUGUUAUAAACUCUUUUAAACACUUUUGAGUAGUAUUUAUUACCUUUUAACUCAAUUGGCACAUUAAGGACCCUUGCAAGUAUUACUAAUCAGUUUUUGGCAAGUUUUGGUGUUUUUGAUAACUUUUUUAUCAUUAAAACAAGCCAAGAAUGAGGGAGAACUUGGUAUAGUCCAUGGCAAAGCAAGAUUGAAGCUAAAUUACAUGAAGAAUCCAAGUUUUGGAGAGCUUCGAAGCCUUUGCCAAAUCAAUCAAGUAUGCAAGGAAGAGAAUCAGAGAAGGAAUCUAACAUUAAAAAAUUUCACAACCUUUUGCGAAAUAUUUGCAAGCUUGAGAAUUGCCUAAGAGGAGUACAAACUGCAGGACAGAGAGCAAGGCUGUGAAGAAUGAAUUUCGCACCCUUGCGAAAUUUCGCAAGCCUUGCGAAACUGAUGAAUUUUGCAACCCCUUGCAAAAUUUUCGCAAGCAUUGUAAAAUCUUCUUGUAACCUUCAGAUAUAUUUGCACCAACUUCGUUAGAUUUUUAUCUCAAGAUAUUUUGUGUAAUUACCUAUUCUCUCCUUGUAAUUAUCUAAAGAUCUUUUUAGAUAUUUAGGAUAUCUAAUUGAGGGGUUAAAAAUAUCUCUCUAUAUAUGUUUUAAGAUAUCUCUUUUUGUAAUAUCUCAAUAUCAGAAUCUCGGAAGAAAUUCUUGGGGAUCACUUGUAAUCUCUUGGAAGAAAUUCCAGAAAAGACUUGUGCAUUCUUUUUAAUAAGAAAUAUACAGAGCUUUGCUCUGCCUUAUCUACUCAUUUUGAUUUUAUUUUCUUUCUAGCCAAACAAUCUUUGAGAAUGUUCUUCCCCUAGGCUUUUCAUUUCUUAGACUGAAGGAAGCUAGGUAAGGGAUCCGGAUACAAAAGUGGGAGUUUUCCUUGUUUCGGUUUUUAAUGAAGAUAAGUUGUGACCCGUUAAUGGUUUUUAUAUUUUUAGUUAACUUAAAAUCACCUGGACCAACACUUGGUAAUCUUUCGGACUCCAUCCAUUGAGAUCCAUUAGUUAUAUCUUGCGAGCCUCUGGGAGGUGGUUUAAAGGUAGGAUUACCUAGAAUAGCCAACACUUGGUAAGCUUUCGAACUCCCUAGAGACAUCCAUUAGUUAUCUCUUGCGAGCUUUUGAAGGGUAAUCCAAGGUUAAGGAUCACCUUGAAUGGACAAUACUAGGUGAGAGGUAUGAACCAUUGCAAGAUGCAUCAGUGAGAGGACUUUAGUGUUUGAAACCAUUAAUGGGAAGCAACUGUAACACACCGGUUCGGGAAAUAACUAUAGGUUAAAUCCCCAAUACGAGGAAAAGAUCCGAAAUCUCCCCUUUUGUAUAAGGAACGUGAACCUAGUGACCUGAAACUCCAAGAAACCUUUUCUUUGUAAUUAAUCUUAGUUACUAUUUUUGGUUAGCUUAAAACCAACCCUUUUCAACCAACUUUAUGUUUUCUUUUAAAGCUAACUUAGAAAAGAAAAAGCAUCAUUUCAGUGUUGUAACUAAUAUCACGUGUGAAAUGAAAACCCAUCCCUGUGGACGAUCCUCGAACCACUAUGCUAUGCUAGCUAUGCUACCCUAGUAUAUGGUGAAUUAGGUUUAUAAAUUUUAUUGAUAACUUCUGUCUGAGGAUUGAAUCAAAGUAGAACACCAAUUGGGGAUGAAUCUCCAAGCCCUAGUCCAGAACAGUGCGGUCUUCGCCGACCGCCUUCCUGCACUGCUCACUCAUAGAGUUAUCAGUUGCAACCAGCAGAUCAUUAUCACCGAGUUCUAUGGCUCGAACUGGCACCUCUUCCCCCGCAACCUUACCUACGAAAUCCUUAGUCCCUUACACAUCAAAUGUAUUCUCGCGCAUGCAAGUGGGUCUUGGACAUUCUCCUCUUUCGCCUUCAAAACCAUUCCGGACCUAUCCUUGUGUUUCAUCACUUCAGAUAUGCCAUGUUUUGCUUACUGGUUCUUAUGUGCUUCAAUGACCAGCUGGGAGAUAAGCAGAUUCAAGAUAUUGAAGCGGUUGAGCGGAAAGUUUUGUUCAACUAUGCUCUCUUCAAUUCACUUAAUUUCUGGGGUAGAUUGGGGAAAAUUUUGUUCAAAAAAAAAAAACGUUGGAAGAAGUUGCUAUAGUUUCGCAAGGAUCAGGAGGCUGUAUUGAUUCCCCACAUCAGAGCCAAAUGACAGCUAAAGCAAGAAAUGCAAGGAAAACAAGGGCAAUCAGAGGACUAUGUCUUAUCGUAUGCUGACACUUUGCUAGACUUGCAACUGCUAGAAGAGAAGUGGAAGCUUACUUAUGGAGAGAUAGUUAGUUUGUGCUCGGAGUUUCUCAAUGCUGCAACUCAUUUGACAAGCACUACAUUGCAGUGGAUUAUGGAAAAUGUGAUAAAAUACCAGCAUAUUCAAGCCAAUGUGUAUGAAGAGAUUAGUGGGGUCGUGAAGGAUGGAGUGGAAAUGGUAAGAGAUGAAGAUUUGCAGAAGAUGCCAUACUGGAAGGUCGUGAUUUUGGAAGGUCUGAGGCGUUGUUCUCCAAGACACUUUGUGCUGCCUCAUUCAGUGACCCAAGAUACAGUCUUGGACGGUUACCUCGUACCCAAAAAUGCUACUAUAAAUUUCAGGGUUAUGGAGAUCAGUCUAGACCCAAAAAUAUGGGAAAAUCUAAGAGAGUUCAGGCCCGAAAGGUUCUUGAACAGUUUUGGAGGGGAAGAGAGGGAGAUAGACGCUGCUGAAAAUGACGACGGCAAUGAGAGCUCUCGAUUCUAUGACUCCUGAACGUUCUGAUUAGAGGGAUCUCUGGAUAUGAAUCGCGAAUAACACAUCAUCAACCUCAUCAUGCAUGGGAUAAAGUUCAUAAGAAUCGUUUGAUUUCCACAUCUCCAGACUAUCAUCAAUAAGCAUACUACCACCAAGCAUGGAUUCGUCUACAGUGGCCUGAUUAUACAUUGAUAAAUUGCUAAAUCUCAAAGAAGAGUCGAGAUCUGGUCCAAAUCUGGCUGCCAUAAAGAAAUGAAAUUGUCGGAGCUCUGGGUUUUAGUUCAGAUUAUAGGAUUUUUGCUAGUGGUAAAGGUUGAAGCAAUGAGUAUGGGAUUGGAGUUUGGGAUCAGAUUACAUGGAAACAGAUUGAUUUCUUCUAUGAACCUAUUGGUUGGUCUCUUGGUAAUGCUGACAAGCUUUAGCGGCUGCAAGGAACCAACUGUUUGAUGGUGGCAACUCAGUUUCCUAGCGGAUAGAAUUGAGGAUGGGAAAGGGAAGGCAGUAGUGGCACACGAUUGCAUGUGAAGAAAAUUCUCUGACACAUACAAAAGGACGUCACUCAUAUAUAUAUAGAGGACUUUACGCCAUUUUGUGGAAGAACAACCACCUUUCUCUAGGUUACACAGCCACAGACAGUCCACCUAGAACACCACGCAUCCAAUUGUGAUUCGCACAUCUGCCACUUUGAGAAAGCCACAAUCCACUCCAUUGUUCGGAAAAGUAAGUUGGAAUUCCGUUCUACUUAAAUCUUGAUUUAUUACAUAAAAAAAAAUUGUUGAUUGCAAUUGGGUUUAGGCUUUGAUUCGUUAUGUUAGAUUGAUAGGGUUUGAAUAAUUUAGUUCCAGUUUCAAAUUCAUCAAAUUAGAUUAGAGAGAUUCGAGUUUAAUCUAGUUAUGAUUUUUAUCCAUUAUAUUGAUUAGAAAAGUUUGGAAUUUUUUAUUUUUGAUUUGGCUUUGGUUCAUUAUGAUAGCUAGGAAAGCUUGAAUUUUAUUUAAUUUCAUUUGGAUUUUUCAUGUUAGUUUGAAAAAUUGAAAUUUUGUUUUGAUCUAGUUUUGAUUUUUUAUGAUAGUUUGGAAAGUUAUGACCUUUGUUUUAAUUUAAUGUUGAUUCAUUAUUUUAGUUUGAAAGUUAUGAUUUUGUUUAAUUUAGUUACGAUUUAUUAUUUUUAGUUUAACAAGUUAGAAUUUUUAAGUAUUUGUUUGGAUAAUUCUUGAUGAUAAUGGAAAAGUUAGAAUUUUUAAGUGUUUGGAUAAUUCUUGGCGAUAAUGGAAAAGUUAGAAUAUUUAAUAAGUGUUUGGAUAAUUUUUUAUGAUAGUGGAAAAGUUAGUAUUCUUAAAUUUUUUUUUUUUAAAUAAUUCUUGAUGAUAGUUUAAAAGUUAGAAUUUUGAUUAGUAUUAGUUUUACUUCGUUCUUAGUUGGGAAAUUCAUAAUUUCAUUUAGUUUAGUUUCAAUUGAUCUUUUAGUUUAGAUGUUAUUAAAAUUCUAGUUUAUUAGUUCAAUUGAUUUCGUGCUACUAUUUCCAUAUCCUAAGUUUGUUAAUUUUAAUUCAUGAUUCAUCAUUUUUUUAGUUUAUAAGUUUUAGAAUUUAAGUUGGCUAAUUUAUUUCACUGUGUUGAUAUAUUCAUGUUUAAAAAAAAAAAAAAAAACUUGUUGACUCUAGUUUUGAUUGAUCCUGUUUUAGUUGAUAGUUUUUUUUUUUUAGAAUUUUAAUUAGUUUGUUUGGUCUCAUACUAUUUGGUUCAUGUUUUAAGAUUGUUAAUUUCAAUUUUUUAUUAAUUCUAUGCUUUAGAAUUGUAGCCAAUUAGUUUAAUCUAUCCCCAUGUUAUCAUUUCGUCUUUAAAAAUAGUUAAUUUUAGUUUUUGACUUAUUUUAUUUAGUUUAUGUGUUUGUUUUCUUUUAUUUAAUUGAUUAGUUUAGUCGAUUGUAUUUUGUUAGAUUUAUGGCUUAAAAUCAUCAAUAUUAGUUGAUAUGUGUUGUUAGUUUUGUUUUAAAAGUCAAAUAAUAUUUGCGCUUGAUUGAUUUUAUCUUAAGUUUAAAUGUUUUUAAAGUUCCAGUGCUUAUAAGAUCUAAAAUGUUUUGGUUUAUCACUUUUGUCAUCCUUUGUCAAAUUCAAUUUCUAGAGGUCAUCAGAAAGUAAUGAAGAUUGACCUCCAUUCUCACCACUUUAGUUUGCUUGGUUGUCAAAAAUUCUACUUUGUGAUUUUGUUUCUUUUAUUUUGCUUGUUUCUUAUGUUUGUUGUUUUGAAAUUAAUUUCUUUUAUUUUAAAAUAAAAUACUUUUCUCAAAAGAUCCCUUUGAAAAUCUAUUUUUAAAAUUCAUUUAGAGUCCUUGGAAUCAAAAUCUCAUUUUCUUAAAUAAUGUGCAACCAUGUUUUGAUUGGUUCGCAUCUUUCUCAGUUUUCAAUAAAAGCUACGAUUUUGAAUAAGACACGAAUCCAAGCUUGUGGUCCCAAAUAAAUUGGAUAAUUCUAGCUUAGAUUCGUGUAUAUCAAUUGGGGAAUUGGUGGAACCCCUACAUAAGAAAAUUUUUUAAAACUCAUCUUUGCUACCACCUUUUCUAUUUGAUGAAAUCAUCUCUAUUUAUUUUUUUAGGAAUUAUAUACAAGAUGUAUGUGAUAAUUGAUGAUUUCGUAUACUUUGAUCAUUUUUUCUAUGCUAAUUAAAUAACAAGCAUGCUAGAAUUUCUUUAUUUUAUUAUUUAUUAUUUAUUAUCUAACCCCUCAUGUCUUGCGGAAGCAUGUUACAAGUUAUCUAUGCUAUCUAAAUACGCCCCCUAUCUCUCACCUUCUAAAUUCUGUGAUAUGUUUGUCACUAUGAACCACACCUAUGUUUGAUAGUGCUUGGGUGUCUUGAUAUAUUGUUUCAUUGUUCGAUUAUUUAUGAUAAAGCUCAUGCUGGAUGAUAUACUAUUUGAACUAACUUUGAUAUCUUGUGAUAACGUUUAAGAAGCAGCCUAGGUAAGCACCCUAAAUCUUCUUUAUGAUUGUGAUUGGUUUUCUUGUUUGGCAUGAUAUUUUUUUAAAUCACCUAGCCUACUUAGGUAUCUAUAAACAACCAAAUUAAUUGUCACAUUUCCCUCAACUUAGUCAGUAAAGACCUUUGUAGGGCUUGGAGGGGUGCUACCUUUUAGAGGUAUCUUUCCAAUAUAUAACCUGAUCCCCGGACCUAGACUCAGGUUUUUCAAAGACACGCUUUUCCAAAAACUAUGGAGUCACCUUUUUUAAGGUUUUCUUUCUUAUUUUAUUUUCCCUUUAAAAUAAAAAUAAAAUAAGUGGCAACUCCGACUUUUUCCAAAACUAUUUUUUCACCAAUAAAAACAAGUCUCGCAGAUCAAGUGGGGGCACACGUGAAAAAUGCGAGUCCACAGUUGUUGUGUUGUCAUCUCUCACAUUUGGUCUUCAUAUACAUUUCAUCACUAAUAUCCAUGUCACAUCACCCAUUGUAGUGGUUAUGCUAUGUCACCUAUUAUUGCAGUCAUGUCACACCAUCAUCACAUAGUUGUACCACGUCAUCAAUAUCAACCAUGUGGAGUUUGACCUUUGAAGACCUGUAUAGCCUAACACUAGAUAAGGAUGCAUAUGUGACCAUUGUGUUUAAUUUUCCACUAUGUUUGCCAAGAUGGUUAGAUGCACUCAUACCCACACAUUGUACUACUAGGAAUCCUGGAUUGCUCUAUUCCCAAGCUUAGAUGAAUAAGGUGCAUGUAGUCUAUCUUGGGCCUCUUAAGAUAUAUCAUAACGGAAACAUAUGACAUCAAAAACCAAAAUAAAACAUAGAUCUAAAGAUGAAAAGCUCACACAUAUGGUUUGGAUGUUCCUAGAUCAAAUCCAAGUUGGUGGAAAUGUCGAAAGCUCCAUAGAACUGGUCUACCUAGUGUUCUUCCACUUGAUCUCUCUUUUCGUGGAUGUUUGGCAUGAGAGAAGGGUGGACUUAUCUCUCUCCUUAAGGGUAUCUAGGGUUCCCCUCUUUGGAAAUUCAGAAAACUGAAUAAGAAGUCCUAACCCUUAAAAGGAUUUAUAUAGGCUUAAGUGAGUUGAGCCCAAAUUGGGUUUGUGUCACUUAAUCUAGCCCACUUGCAUCCUAAUAACUUAAUUAGUCUAAUGGACUUCAAUUAAUAAAUUAGCAUAUUCUGGAAAGAACAUUCAUAAGAUCUAGUGGAAUCUUAUAUUUUUACUAAAACGCCUUUAUGCACACUUAUGAAUUAUUUAAACAAAAUACCCUCAAAGUGUGGGAGCUUGAGCAAGGACCAUUGGGUCUCAUAGAAAAAUAUUUACUCCCUUAGAAUCUAAUUUUAAAGUUGACUCAACACUUCAUUAAAAAGACUCAACUGCUUUCCAAUAUCCAACGAAAUUACAACGAGUAAAGCUCAAUUUCAUAAUGUACAAUCCAUUACAUACAAACUCCUUAUGAACUGGUGUUUAUAAUCUAACAAAGUAAUGCCAUCAACCCAUCAAGAUUACCUCUCCAAUUCGUAAGUUACAUAUUUUCCUAUUAUGCGAUCAACUGACAUACUCUAUCUCCAAAGAGUAUAUGUCAAAUUUCACUAAAUGAAUUACUGCAACCAUAAAGUUUAUGAUUACACGUCCUUUAUAAUUACCCAAGGGGACAUGUUGUCUCAAUCCUAUGAGAUAUCAUGGUGCCUCUAUUGACAAAACUUGUUGUCAUUAGCCUCUAUCAAUAAUGACUCAAUCUAUAGGGAUAUAUGAACACAUUAAGGUUUCACCUAUAGGUCAAAGUCUUUUAUUAAUUUCAACACAAGCUUAAUAUCCUCUCAAGAUUAAGAGUCCAUGCAACAUAGUAGCUUGGUGAAUCAUGACAAUUUGAUAGCCUUACAUCAUGAUUCACUGUAGUGAUUGAACUAAUAGAUUAAAGUCCCUAAAUAUCAAAAUGUACUAAAUCAAAAGGCUUAGAAGCUCGAGAAACCAAGUUUACAAAAGGUAAUCUAUGUUCUUAGCCAUUUGACAAGGAAGAUAAAAAUCUAAAAUGGUUGUGUUUGGAACUUUCAAUUUACACAACUUCAUAACUUUGUGAACGAUGGGGAAGGAUGGAUGACCUAGAUGAUGGUGCUAAAGAGUAGGGUCUUGAAGUUGAGUGUGGUAAGCCUGGAUUUGAGUGCUUGGACAAGGUUGGGAUGAUUGGUUGGAGAUUAUGGUUGGAAGCAAUUUGUAAAGACCAUCCUCAAGACCAUAUGUGAUAAUGAUGUUCAACAUCUGGGUUUGCAAAAGAAGAUAGUUGUUUAUGUCAAGCUUGAUAGAAAUUGGAUGAUUUAGAAGAGGGAAAGCUUGGAAAUGCAGUGUAGGUUGAUUUUGAGGGCCUAGAACCAGUUGAUUAGGGUUGUUUCAUUGAGGAUCGAUGUUAACUGGAGUUGUAGGUUGAUAAGCCAUUAGAGAGGAAAGUGAAAACGGAAAAGGAGAAGAAUGGAAGAACAAAGAGAUUAGGGUUUGCUCAACACAUUGCUAGAGCAGGGACGAUUCUAUUAUAUACCAAAAAUGGAAAAUGCAAAAAAUGUGUUGUACAAGAGAGUUGUUAUCAACAUGGUAAGUAAUAGCAAAAUAGAUACAAUGUUACACUCUAAUUCGCUUGCACUUGGGAACCCAAACUCUCAAACAUAGAUAUCCACUUUUCACACAUUAAUGGUGGUAAAGAAAAAAAAAACCCAAAAGCACUUAGAAAACUAUUUUCAAGAAAAAAAAAAUUAGCUAUUGAUACAUUUUUGAAAAUGUUGUGUAUGCAACUAAUUUGUUGUAUCUAGGCCUAGAUUACAAAGAACAUGAUAAAAUCUUAUUUAGCCCUUCUUUUUUAUUUCUCUUAAUAAUUCCUUUUAAGCUCUUCUUUUUUGGUUCCUUGAUAAAAAUUGUUUUGUAUUAUUGCCUAUUUUCUCUAUAUACACUUAUAGAAAUCAUCAAAUUCCAAUCCUUUGUUUUGUUAUCAUAAAUAUUCAGUUGAUUACCUUCAAACAAAAAACCUUGGGCUAACAUAACGCACUUGCAACGACAAGAAAAGGAAAGAAAUGCAAAACGUUCCUUAUGUAAGUUCAAUUGGAAGUCUAAUGUAUGCUUUAUUAUGUACUUGACUCGAUCAAUUGGUUAGCCAUCACUAGAGUAAACAAGGACUUGUUCAUUGGUGAGUGGUCAAAAGAAUUUUUUUCCUAUCUCUGAGGCAUGUUAGAUCUUGUUCUCUACUAUUAAAGGGCAUAUAGUUGAGAUUAAUGGAGGAUGCUAUGAUGUAAGUUGCUUUAAUGACAAAGAUAAGCACAUAUAUAGAUUUAGUAUUGGUUUCUGCUUUUUUGCUCAGUGUAGUAGCUAUAUCCUAGUGUAAUAUGGAACAAUUUUGUACUGCAUUGUUCGCAGUGGACUUCGAGUAUGUUACUUGCUCAACAUUAGUAUAGGAGUUGUUUAUUUUAGGAGAUUAUUUCAGUAUCUGUUUCAUAGCUCUUAUUGUUUAUAUUGACAAAGUGGCUACUUUGUCUUGUGCCAAGGAUCCCAAGUACCAUGUAGAACAGAACACAUACAUCUAAUUCCAUUACAUUCAAGAUAUUGCUCCACAAUGGAGGGUGGUCCUACAACACAUCUCAACUAGCAAUAUGAUGGGUGAUACUCUCACUAAAUCUACUACGAGAAAUGUCUUUUUCACUCAUGUUAGGAGUAUGGGACUUUUUACAAUUUGAUAUAUUUUUUGAACACCUUUUAUAUUAAUUGACAUUUUCAAUUAUGAGUAUCUUAUGCAUUUAUUCAUAUAGGCAAUCACUGGCGCGUUUUUUUGGAGGCAAUCAUCUUGUACCUUUGAUCUAGACUCUCAUUGUCACAACCCAAAUUCCGGGCGACCCAAAAUUUGGCCCGUGACCCCAGGUCAAAGGUUUGACCCUAAGGGUUUCUCCUAUUCCACGUUGGCAGUCAACUAAACACUCUGAAUUUUUUUUUUUCUUUUUUUUUUCACAUAUAAGUCCCACUAGGGUUCUCACCAACUAACAAUAUUUUAAAACCUUACUCAAACACAUCAAGAUUUAAUAAACAUCAUUGCAUCCCAAAAUAAAGUUUCAUAAAAAAUCCCCUUAAUCAAACUAAGGUCUUAUUACAUUAUCCAUAAUUCACUUAUUACAAGGUCUCAAUGCCACAAACACAAUAAAAAAAUAAAACCUUUCCACUAAACCACUUCAGGGGCAUCUUGAAGUCCUCCCUGUCCCAUCUGUGGAUCCUCAGGAGUGAUAUCUGCAUCUAAAAAGAUAUAAAAAUGAAGGAGUGAGCAUUUCCACAUUGCUCAGUAGGGUGCCUAACACCCAAAGGGUUAAUGGGGGAUUACUAUAAUUUGAGAACCCAAACGCAACAGUUCACCAAUAUAAAUCAAGUCACACAAUUUAACAUAUAACAUUAAACUCAAUUCCACAACAUUCAAUCAUUAAAUGAAUGCAUAUAAACGUAUGACACACAAUCAUACAAUGCACUAUCGUUCUCGGGCUUUCACCGAAGGAUACGCGUCCGCACCCAAAUAUACUCCCCAUUCAGAGUCUUCCCGGGGUAAACUUUUGGGUCUUUCACCCUAGGGAUCUCUCUCCCUUCUUAGUUCGCCUCACACGGGCUUUCACUUUUCAUCACUAUUUUAUUUUUUUCCAUUUCAUACACUUUUCACAAAAAAAAAUUUUCUUCAUACAAUCAUGAUGCAAAUGAAUGCCACAAAUUCCAAAAUUCCUUAAUAAUUUCUACAAUUCCAAUAAUUUCAACAUUCUCAAUAACCCAAUAAAAUAAAAUUUUCACAUUAAAAUUCCCGAAAAUAUACCAACAAAUUUUCGGAAAUUCAAACAUCAAUAUACUUGAAUUUAUAUCACAAUUUCAGAAUUUUUCAAAAACUCUAAUAAUUCCCAAUAUUUGAAAAUAACUAAUUUUUCACAAUAAAAUUAUCGCAAAUAUUCCAAUCAAUUUUCAAAAAUUCAUAAGUCACUAGAUUUGAAAUCUUGCCCUAAUUCCGGAAUUUUCCUACAUUUCUAGCAAUUUUUAACAACUUAAAAUAAUUAUUUAUCAAUUAUAAAGAAUUCCGAAAAUUACAAAAAAAUCCAGAACAAAUCCCAAAGCAUUCCAGAAAAUUCACCCAACAUCACAAUUACCUACUUAACUCAUAAUUAUCAGAUUUAUAAUUUUUUUUUCAAGGGAAAAACAUAAAAAUUUAAGUUUUAGGGUUAAGGUCCCCUACCACAAAUCUGAGAAUUUGGCCGUUAAAAACGAAAUCAGCCACCGUAGACUUGUUCCUCUACUCGAAUAGAGUACUUCCUCCGAAUUUGGGCCGAAACAGAGAUCGUUUGGCCGUCCAAACGGCCGGUCAAAAAUCCGGCGAGUGACCCAAUUUAGCCUUUCUCUCUCUCUCUGCCCCGCGUGCUGCAAUUCUCCUCCUUUUCCCCCUUUUUUUUUUUAAUAGCCCACUUCACAUGGCUUUUAAAAAGCCACCAGCCCACUUGCUUUUAAAAGCCACCAGCCCACUUCACAUGGCUUUUAAAAGCCACCAACCACUUAAGCCAAGCCCAACUCAAUAUCUAAGUCCAAUCCAUUAUUAUUAUUAUUAUUUUUCUUUUACAACCCAUUACAAACUGCCAAUAUUCAAAGCUCAAUGAAUAUUUUUAUUUUAUUUCUUUUAUUUUCUUUUCUUUUGUUUAUUCUAAUUGUUUUAUUUGAUUUCCAAUUCAUUUUUUUUUCAUUUUAACACACAAUUUUAUUUAUUAACACCAAUUAAAAACUAAUUUUCUCAAUAUUAUUAUUCAUCAAUUUAAUUUAAUUUUUCUUAAUUAAUUCUAUUUUUUUUAUUAAUUCUUUUUUUUUCCCGGAAAAUUUCAAUUUCUAAAAUCCUAAGAAAUUUUCUACCCUAAGGCUGACAUGGCAUAAAAUUUCAACUCGUUUAAUUGACCGACACAAUAAAACGAAAUUCACCAAUCCGAAAUUGACACGUGUUCUCCAAACACUUUUCUUUUUAACUUUUCAACCAUCACACAAAAUAAGACUUUUCAAACUAAAAUUACUAACGUGGCAUAAAAUACCCGGUCAUUACACUCAUAGGCCUGUGUGUAUCUCUAUUUCCUAUAUGCUCAUGAUUGCUACCAAAAUUGAAAUCACCCAGCUUUGGCAAUGAGCAUUUAUUAUCCGAAGACUAAUGGUAUUGCUAUACUUGUGAUGUUUAUUACACCAAGCAAAAACUCUAAAAUUUUUAACUUCUUUGUUUUCAUUUUUAUGUACUAAAGCUCUGGUAAAAUAAGGUUAUCCUCUAGGUGUUUGCAAAGUCAUCUGAAGGAAUCAGCUGAUGGAUGAAAUCUAUUCCAUUGAAGAACUCUUUGAAAAUUUUCACACUAAAAUGUUCAUAAAAACCAUAAACACAUAGGUACAAUCAAUCCAAAUGAUCAAUUAGUCAUGGGUGCAUAUACCUCCAUGAAUUUCCUACAAAGAACAUGAUUGUUUUAAUAUAAAAAACUCUGGUGCUCAGUGCGGAUUAUGGGAUUUGUUUUCAAGCACACGUGCACAUACAUGCAUGUGGCCUGGUGCACGCUCGAGGACAUGGCACAAGUGGACCAUAUAUGCAGCUUUAAUGGCGCAAAUUCAUGCAUGAAUUAUAUGGCCAGUAAGGGGCCCAUGUGGUGGGAUUCAGCUUCAAGACAAAAGAGAUGCAUGUUCACAAUCCUUUUGUCAAGUAACCAUCCAAGUGAGGCAGCAGGUCCAAGCCCCACCACUGUGGGUCACCUCCAAUUAUUUCCAGUCCACCCCAAUUAAUUUUAAUAUCAUUUUUCUUCUAGUGAUUCUAUCAGCAUUCUAUCACAACUGCAUGUGACCCUUUUAAACAAAUGACAAAAUAAUGAUCAUUUCGUAUUCAAGUGAAGGAGAAGUUAAUUAUAUAUGAUUAAACAAUGAAGGACAACACAAAAAUUGGGAAGUCAUUAAAUAUAGUAGUUGAUUUGAUAAGAAAAAUUAACAUCGAUCGGGAUGUGAAUUAACAUUGAUGUGAUGGUCGAUCCAAAACACUUCAAGUACUCCUUGUUUAAUUAAAUUUAUUAUAAUAAUUCCAUUUUAGGUGGAAUAUUCUACAUCACAAUCCGAUCCAGUAAUUAAACUCAACUUUAAUUACAUUAUCUAGCUACAAUUGAGUGAUUAGAUUAGCUUACUAAACAACUACCAAGAUACAGUGCAUGAGUGGGAGCCACUAAAAUGGCUAAGUACCAAAAGCUGGUGGAACUUUGUUUUCUUAACUUAAUUGCUUAUGUUAUCAUCAUGGUGGUGCCUCCCACUUCACAAAACUUCUUUUGCUUUUUGCCUUUCUUCUUUUCUUCCCUUUUUUAUUUAUUGGUUUAUGGGUGCAUCUGUCCAGUUGAGAUCCCUUCCAAGUCCUCAAAGCGCAUUCCUCCAUGUUUAAUUUUGUACACAUGCAUGAGCAGUGCCUGACUGUGUAACAAUGUUACAUGCACCAUGAAGCUACAUGAUAUGAAUGAAUGCUUGAGAUGUAACCAAGGGUCCCACCCACAGCCUAAUCAGUUACCAUUUCUUCUGUGGCUGAGUAUAUAUCAUAUGUUUUAUGUUUUAUGGAUUUUGAGCUAGUUUUCUCCUCCUCUUUGUCUCUCUGGUUUUGAGGAUGAAGAAGCUUAACGUCAUACUGAACAAGUGCAAGAGCUUCUCAAGGCAGAUGAGAAGGUCCUCCUCUUACAAUAGUGCUAGUCCAAGAUCAAACUCGGCAAGGGAAGAAACAUUUGCAGAUAUGAAAGAGGAAGAAGAACAUCAAGAAACGGUGUAUGUGGGAAGUAAAAGGAGGCAAUAUGCAGUUAGUUCGAAGCAUCUAAAGCAUCCUUUAUUGAAUGCUUUAAUUGAAGAGAAGUCCAAGCAGGGUCCGGGUGGAGUCAUCUCUGUGAACUGUGAGGUUGUUCUCUUCGACCACCUAUUAUGGAUGCUGGAUAAUGCAGAUCCCAAGCUCACCAGUGAAUCAUUGGAGGAGUUAGCUGAGUUUUAUUCCCUCUGAUACUCAGAGACUUGUUAGCAUCAUUCAUAGGCUUCAUCUAUAUAUGUUCCAGUACCAGCAGCAAGUAUUGAUAAUCUCCAUGGUUAGGUAGAUUCAUUGCUCCUUGGAUGUUUGAUUCAUUUUGUUAUGACCGUGCUUCUGUAUGGCUGUAAUCCGUAAUUACUUAAUGAAUAAACUGUAGGAUAAAUAUUCUCAUAUAUUUUGUUCAUCUCCAUUGUACUUCCAAGUGUUGCCACAUUGAUUUUUUCAGAUGAACCAUGAAUAUGUUGCCUAUAGUGGCUGAUCUUCUUACCUUGAGAAUGCAUAUGGGAAAAAGGUUUAGAAUUACCUUGCUCUUAGGAACAUAUGGAUUCAUGAGAGUUCAUAGCAAAAUGAUAUAGAAAAAUAAUCAUUUAAAUGAAAUAAGAAUGAUGAUAAAUAUCAUUGUGACCCAAAAUAAGGGUUUUCGUUACCUUUUGAAGUGGGCAAAAAUCUCCAUUAAUUGUUUUAUUAACCAAUUUUUUCGUCUCAAGUUAUGAAUAAAAUUACGAGAACCAUUCUAUUUCCGUAAUACCCAAGUGCCUUGACCUUUAUUUUUACAUAAAACAUAGAAUAAAAGAACUUCAAAAGGAAACCUUUUGUUUUUCAAAAAGAAGAAUUAUGUUCUUUCUCUUAUCAGAUUUUAAGGGAGAGAGUAAAAACAAUAUUCCUUCUCUUAUUUUUUCAGAGAGAGUCUUCUCACCGAGGGAGAAAAAAAUUUAUUAUUUUUUAAUUUUAAUAAUGACCAUUUUAGGUAGAUUUAAAACUGUUAAAAACGUUUCCCAUUUUUAUUUUGCUUGGGCCGGAUCGGCUAGGUGGAGUGAGCCAUUUGGGCACCGAAACCCAACUCCAACACAUUGCGUUGUUGGUUGGUGGCAUUAUAAAGAGAAAGACCAUCAUCAACCCUGAUUCCCCAUGAUUCCUUAUCAUCAACUCACAUGACAACUUUCUCUUUUUAAUUUCAGAUCAUAAUGCCAGCAUCGAUCACUCCCACUUCACAAAGUGAAUUAUUUUUCCUUUCAUACAGGCAAUAUUGGAACUUGAAAUAGGCCUGCCAAUUGAUCAAAUUUUGACCCGACGGCUCAAAUUUUCAUGGUAAAGGCGUAUAGCCACGAACCCCUUAAUGGUACAUUUUAUUAAAUUCUUAUGCCCCAAUAAAUUAAAUAAAGACACAGAGACCCAAAGCUGAUCCAAUAAUGGUCUGACACGAGAGAUAAAAUCAGGUUGCAUGCUAGUUCUAUGCAAUAUAGAUAUGGCUACAGUAACAAGUUAAAUAUCUGAAAUAUAAGAUAUGUACAGCCAAGAGAAAGAAACAAGCACUCUAAUGGGGCCGAUCGUGGGAUUUGUAUAUUUUAAAAUUAUUUAUUCUUUAAGAUAUCUACUAUUUUGAUUCUCAUAUAAAAAGCUUAGAGAUCCAGGGUAUUUUCCAUAUCUGGGUGUAACUUGGAGAUAUUUUGGGUACAAGGAAAUUAAGUUGAUAUAGAUAACCAUUUAAGAUAUUGAUGUUAAAAUUGUAUUUGUAUGAUUGAAGCAAAUGCGCUAAGCAACCAGCUAAUAUUAGAGACACUUGGCAGCUCUGUAUGCUGCUGAAGCUUAGUACAAACAGCUAGCAAAGCUGCUGCCCAAUUUAAACCAAGCAACAAAAGACUUCGAAAGUCGGCGAUCUUUGCAUUUUUGGCAGCCCUUUUCUUCUCCGCCACGACUUCGCUAAGCUGCAGCUUCAAGAUUAUCGGCACACACAUGGAAACAACUUAAUUAAUUAGGAUUGGUUGCUCAAUUUGCUUUACUUCACCCUAGGUAUGGCAGACUUUGUUUUGGGGGUUGUGUGUCAAAUUAUUUUCUCUAUCAAUUAACCAAAUUUAAAGGACUGAAUUUUUAUUGUUGAGCUAAAUUGUUUGUGCCCAUAGAUUCAAGGAUCUUGCAAUAAUUUAAUUAACAAACUUGCCUUGCUUGUUUUUCUGUUGUUAGUGAUAGUUGGGGAUGAUAUGUUUAAUCUAGCAAUUUUCAAGCUAUUUGUUAAAGUUGAUUGAUGAUUUGAUAAGUUCUAUUUGGUUAUGAUUUAUGUUUUUUUUUUUUUUUCUCUAUCAAGGAUGCGAUGAACAAGGUUGAAUUUAUGCUUCUUGUUGUCAUGAAUUGAUGGAAGUUAGAGGGAUUCAUAUGUUCAUGAGUUGUAUGACUUGAAUGGGAAAACUAUACUUGGAAUUGUGCUUUAUGACAUGGGUGUUAGCUUGGUGACAAUGAUUGAAUUUUAAAACAAAAUUGAUGGAGAAGUUACCUUAGUGGAAGUGGAAACAAUGGAUGGUUAGCACUGAUGAUGGAUACCUUUACAUACUAAGGGGGGAAAGGGUCCCUAAGUGAGAGCCUUAAAAGGAAGAGGGUAUUGUGCACCGGUUGGGAGAAAAAGAAAAAAACGUCUCUAUGUGAGAGUGUUAAAAGGAAAUAGGCCAUUAUGUUCAAGAACCCAAAACUACGACAAAAAGAUCCCGUAGGGAUGUAAUAGGAGGCAUAUACAUAUAUCCCUAGGUGCAAGUCCCUGAAUAUAUAUACUUGUUUUUCCAUUUUUUGAAUAAGAUAGGAAUUUCCUACUCCAUAAAGUUAAAGGUUACUUCCUAUUGAUAUUUGGUAUGUUGAAAUGUUACUUUUUGUACAUAAUCUUAGAAUUUAUAUUAUUUAUUACUUUUAACAUAGUGCUUAAAAAUAGUCAUUAGCUAUUAAUUAAGCUUUGUUAGCUCACCCUAUUACUCAUUUUUUAGAUUCAGAUGUUGAGGCUCCUCAUGGGCAAAUGCCAGAUGAUUGAUUAUGCGCUUUGAAGAUCUUUUUGGACAGCUUCUUGAUAGAGCUUGAGGCUUAUUUUGAUGUAUUUUGGGUGUGAGAAACCAAACAUGAUGAUCUAUGUAACCUUAAGAAGAUUUAGACACCUAGUGCUGAUUUGGUUGCAUGAAGGCCUAUUUUUGCAUGUAUAAAGGAAUUUUGAUGGUGUGAAUGGGAGGUGAAAUCUCCAAGGAACAUCUAGUUGAAUUUUUGCGUUAAAAUGGCCAUAUUUACUAUUCCAUUGUUUGAUCUCUUUUGUUCUAAUAAUUAAUUUUAUUUGAGACUAGAAUGGAUCUACUUUCUUUAGGACCAGGUCCCAAAUCAAUUCACCCUUGGAAAGUUAAAAUAUUAAUUUCUUCCCGGAAACGAAUCAAUAGUUCUGAGUGGCAACAUGAGUAACCAAGUAGGUGUUGGGUAGUCUACGUGAAGUUAUGGCAUAAUUAGAGACUAAUUUCCAAUGAAUAUUAUUAGCCCUCUUCUUAUUCUGGACUCAUGAGCUGGACCUUGAGUUAGGCCGAGCCAUGGUUCCAUGGGAAAUACUCAAACCUAUUCCAGCACCUGCGCAAACCUCCCUAAACAGGUUGACACCACGAACUUGCGGAGGCCAUCUGAGCAGGGUACCUAAGCAGACAUAAGGACUUCUAUGCAACCUCUAAGAGCUUCAUUUUCAAAGCUCUCUGGGCAGUCCCUGAGCCGACAAGUGAUGGCAGCACCUUGAAGCUCACCAACCCUAGGUUACUGCAUGAGAAUCUAAAUGCUACAAGGUGUUUUUUUUUUUUUUUCCAGGCCUUUCUAACGGCGGUAUGCCAUCUGGAAGUUGUUAGAGGAGAAAAUGACGAGGUUGAAUCUGGAGCAGCAAGGGCAUAAAUAAUUCUGACAAUGAUUGGAGAGAGAAUGAGAAGAGAACCACUGACAGCACAGCCACAACAAAUUCUGAUAAUGAUUGAGAGAAGAGGGAAAGGAGCUAACCCAGGGCUCCAGUGUAGCCCAUGGUCCGUGCAUCAGUAAUCGAGCAGGCUCUCAAUCCAGCAUUUGGAGUAAAUCCAUUUCAUCCUAGAGGCUAACAUUAGACUACAAAAAUGGCCCAUGAAUUGGAGGGCAUUCCUUCUGCCAAGAAAAAAAAAAACCCUAGAUAAGGGCUCUUUGGCUCUCUGGAUGGGAGUCUCUCUCUAUUUUCUCUUGGAUCUUCUCUUUUCUGAGGAGAUAUAUAUAUAUAUAUAUAUACUGACUUGACCAAUGGAGAGAGGGACCCUGAGGCCCCCCUCGGGCAUCCUUUAUUUUGCAGGCAUUUCUCGACCAAGCAAAGGAUGUUCAUCGCUCAACUGAAGUCAGGCAGCAUCCAACUAGCAGUAUCGCCCCUUUUCUCCACGCUCCAACAAUGGGACCAUCUAUGGGAGCCGAGCGAAAACACAAAUUCCAGCUCAAAAAUAGAUUUGCCCCUCCAAACUCAAAUGGAAGCUCUGUCAUUGACCAUUGGGGAUCACCUACAUUAAUUAGAGCAGUAAUAGAGUUAGAAAAAGGGUGGAAAAUCUAGAGGAGGUUUUCAAAUGCAACCAACCUAAGCUCAAACAAACAUGGCAACCCCUUUAUUUUCUCUGCACUGCCAAAAUCUUCUAUUGAAAGAGCCUUUUGUUCCCCAAAGCAGUCAAACCAAGGCGCUGGGCUCUCUCCAAAAACUCUCUCAAAGAAACCAUGAAAGCCCUUAGAAGGACCUUGAGUGAGAGCCAAAGAGAAUCCCCCCUCUUCUCUGUGAAAUCUCCGAAAAACAAAAUACCCAAGGAAGCCCUUCACAGCUCUCCUUUGGCAUUGAAAAGAAAAUUCUGAUUUUGUUGUUACUUCAUGCUUUAAACUCUAUCUUCAGGCAUUGAAAAUGCUAGGACACACUGAGUGGAGGUAAAAAAAUGCUACACAAAUCUUAAGGGAGAUUGUAGAUACGUUUUAUAGACCUUCCUUAAAUUUCUAAACUUUAAACACCUCAACUUUCUGCUUCUCUUUUGUUAUGAUUGUUUAGAGUUAUAUUUGAUUACCAAUUUGAUUUGUAAUGCAGCCUGAGAACUAUCCCUCUGUUACACAUAAUGUCGAACAUUUCCAAACAUGUGUAAGUUGUCCAUCUAUAUCAAACCUUAGAGAAAGAGAAACCCCAUGACUUGUGAACAUUUUUCUAAUAAUUUUCUUUAAAGUAUGAAUAUGGAACAUAUCUAUAAGACUAUUAAUAUGAGGUUAUUUACUUCCCCCCUAAAGUUAUGUAGGCCAUUACAGGGCCACAAUGAUGACACAAGGCUAUAGUGCCUAUACAAGCAAGGAUGAAAAUAUUGGUAAACAAGUAUACAUCGGUCCUUGGAUUUUAUAGAUAUAUAUAGAAAUAUCUUUUGAAAAAAAAAAAAUCAAUGGAAUGGAAGUUGAUCCAAACUCAUGGAAACAUUUGGAAAAACAUUAAAAAUGAUAUAAAAAAAAUAAGAAUAAGCAUACUGAAGUUAUUUUGUAAGUGUAAUUGACAUAUUAUGGUGUAAUUUGUGAUAUUUGACAAUAAUAUCAUGUGCAUUGAUAAGAAUAUAUAAAUUUUGUAGGUGCACACUGAAUAUUAAUAAACAUUAAAUAUUUGAUUUCAUUGAAUGUCAAUAAUUUAUACAUAUUACAUUGCAAUAGUCCUUUAGUGUCAAAAUGAAGAUCGAUAGGGUUCCAUCACAUUGUUAGAUGAAGGGGAUCCCAUUUCGUUAGAGACAAUAUUGGUACCUAGACUUGAAGUUUCGAUAAUAUUGAUUAUAAGUAUGAACAUGUCGUGUAUAAAUUUCUUGAGUCCUACUCACAACCUCUCCAUGGAUAAGAAAGUUAGGGGGUCUCCCAUGUGCUCAUUUGAAAUUCUCCUUGCAUAUGAUAUGAAAUUUGGUAUGGCAUUUAUGUAGAAGGAGGAUAAUUAAACAUAUCAUACUCUUCAUCAGUUGAACUUGAAUGUAGAGGAGGUUUACCAUAGCCCAUCAACGUCAUCGUAUAAGGGGGAUAAAUAUUGACUUCAUUUGAUGAGUCACUAAAUUGAGUCCCUAUACUCAUUGACUCAAAACUGGCCUAAAAUGAGUUCUCGUUGUAAGGUGUCAUCCUUCAAUGUUUUCCCCUAUACAACUUUCUAAUGGCUCUAACACUUGAACCAACUCUUCUGGAGUCAUGGUAUUCAUCUUGUGUACAAUGCAUGAAAUUAUCUUCACAAAUGAAUGAGCUCGAUGGAUGUUUACUCUGGUGUUGUUGUCCAAUAUUCUUUCCAUCACUUCCAUAAUCAUCUCCAUCAAUGGUUCUCUCACCUGUUGAAGUAUCAUACCCAAAAGCAGAAGUACCAACACCACUAGGUCUACUACUUUGUUCAAUACUUUGGAGUCAAGGGAAAGUCAAGUAGUUACUGUUGCCUAAGAAUCGAUGGCCUGCUGAAAUGAAUCUCUCGUGUCUUUGCUAAAACUAUCACUAUGAACUUCUUCGAACAACACCCUUUCAAUAUCAACACUUACUUCUCGGGCAUGCGCGGCAAUAUGUAAGUUAAGAUUUCCGUUUUCAUCAUCUAAGUGUAGAAAUCUAAACUAUUGGAACAAUUUAUUUUCCUUUUCUUCACCAACUUUGGCUAAAAUGUCAAGUAAAUCAUGGUAAUUUAUCUCCACAACUUUAUCAUUCUCUACCUUCAUAUCAUGUAUCUUGAGUUUCAUGUUAUAAUAACAAAAAACUAAUUGUUGAAGUCUAGGGUAAGCAAGUUGAUUUCUUUGUUUUGUAUGGAUUAAAACGAAUGAGCUCCAAUGUCUCUCACAAAUUGAAGAUUAUGUAAUUUGCGAUAGAAUCUUGAUGGUUAGUUUCCUCAAUGUUGGAGUGUGAUUGCCAUACAUGAACCACUAUUCAACUACAACCAAAUAAAUGGUAUGAGUAACACUUAUGUUGGAAAUCUACAAUAAUAUGAUAAUGAAAUUUAUUUUCUAUACUGGGAACCAUUUCUGACCUGGAUGCAAUUGUUGCUCGAUCACCAAAUCCUUUCUUUACAUCUCAAAAGAACAUAAGCUACAUUUUGAAUAAUUAAAAAAUCAAAAAUUGACUAAAUGAAAUUGAAUGAAUGAAUUUGUAUUAUAACCAUAUUAAUUUACUUCAUUUUCAAAUUGAUUAAGGUCUACGGCUAUAGGGUGUAAUUCAGCAUAAACCUCAUGGAAAGCUUGAAGUAGGUCAAGAUCGUUACCAACUCUAGGUCUAUAUUGAAACCUUGGAUUGAGAAAGUAUGCUACAAUGUUAAGUAUAAUUAGUAUGUUAUGAAAGAAAAUUAAUAUUAUUAAAUACCAACAACUUUUAAAGAUGGAUAAUACUUAGUUACCUGCCAUCUGAAGUGAAUAUUUGAGUGUUUUAUUCCAAUGAUCUUUAAUGAUUUGUAACACCCAUUCUCUAGCAUUAAGUUGAACGAGGUUCUCUUUCAUCAAUUAACUCAUAGACAAAUGGCAUUAUGGGAACAACUUUUGAAUCCAUGAUUCGAAGAACCAUGUAUGGUGUCGCAUAGAUUGACACUAGCUUUGCUACUUUCUCCCAAUAUGGAUGGUCAAACAUGAGUUUUUUACCUCUUAUCUGAUUUUUGUGCAACUUAACUUAUGUUGUGUUCAUUCAUCACCGAUAAAUACUUUCUUCAAAUGAACUUUCCUUUUUAGAAGACUGUCAAGGGCAAUGUCAUUUGUUGCAAAUCUUAUUACUCUAGGGUGAAUUAUGUCUCUAGUACACAUCUUUCACAUCUACGCAAGCAAGCAACCAUGGUUGUAAAUGAAGAUUUUUUAUCUUUCAAGCCUUUGUAAUUACAUCUACAACACUAAUCUUUUACUAAUGUCUUCAAACAUUAAUUCGAUGUAGUGUGCCGCACAUGGAGUCCAAUAUAAAUCGUACUUCAUCAAUAACUUUUGAACCUUCACAAAUGUCAAACCAUUAUCCGUGACUACUUACACCACAUUUUCUCAAUCGACUUCAUUAAUCACCAACUUUAACAAACCAUAUAUGUAUUUGUUGUUCUUGAUACUAUUUAAUGCAUCCAUAUAUUUGAGAAAGAUUGUGAUGCCUUUUGAAUACCCUAUGAAAUUAAUUAUGCUUAAUUUCGUCAGCCCUAUCCAUUCGUUAGACAUUAUUAUGCAUCUAUAAGUCUUCUAGUUUUCUUUUUGAAUAUUGACAUAAGCUUCUAUGUACUUGUACUCCAUAUCCAAGUAAUAGGUGAUAUUUAAAUUGGGUGACACAACCACUCUUAAUUGUUAGACCACAAUAAUUACAUGUCAUAUCAUAUUUGUUCCCUUCCAUAUAUGUACAAUACUUUCAAGCAAGAUGUCGCCCCACCAUGCCACUUUCACCUGCUCUUGCACUUAUACUUCCACUUCCACUAGUCAUUUUCUAUACAUUGUAUUUUAAAUAGAAUAUGAAACUAAAAUUAAAUUUAAGGUAACAAAUUAAACUAUGCAAAUAUCUAACAUUGAAUAGACAAAUUACUAUAAUUUAAUUUCAAUAUGAAACUAAUUAAAAAUUAUUAAAAUUAAACAUCUAAGUUAUUCAUAAACUAUUUAACAUUACUAAUUUAAAUUGAAAUUAAACUAUGCAAAUAUAUGAUAUUUAAUAGACAAAUCACUAUGACUUAAUUUCAAUAUGAAAUUAAUUUAAAAUUAUUAAAAUUAAACAUCUAAUUUAUCCAUACACUUUAUAACAUUACUAAUUGAAAUUGAAAUUAAACUACGCAAAUAUAUGAUAUUGAAUAGAAAAAUCACUAUAAUUUAAUUUUAAUAUGAAGCUAUUUUAAAAUUAUUAAAAUCAAACAUCCAAAUUAAUUUAAUAUUAAUUGAAAUUAAAAUUAAAAUUGAAUUAUGCGUGUGUGUGUGUGUGUAUAUAUAUAUAUAUAUAUGAAAUUAUAGUCCAAUUCACUAUAAUUUAACUUCAAUAUGAAACUAAUAUUUAUUUAAAUUUAAUAUGACAUUAAUAUUAAAAUUAAUAAAACCAGACCAAUAAUUUAUUUCUUUAAAGCUAUUGAAAAUAUAGUAAUUAAGUAAUACCAAUUAAACUACAUGUAAAUUCAACUAUGCAUAAUAUAAUAUUAGUAAUUAAAAAUAAGAUUGAACUAUGCAUAUGUAAAAAUACAAUUUACUAAACGAACUUUAAAGUAUUGAUUUGCCUUGAUUUGAAGUUAAUACACAACUUCAACACCAAAUUCCCAAAAUUAAAGAAUUUUGAUAGAAAUCACAAAUAAAAAUUGACGCAAUAGAAGAUCAAGAAGUUUUCAAUUGAAUUGUAUAUGAAAUUGAAUGAAAAUUGGGUAUUUAUAGAAAAAAGCUUGGUCAAACUAGUCGUUAGAUGGUCAUAUAACCAUUGUAAUUAAAUUCUAGUCGUUAAAUCAAAGUUUGGUUAAAAUAUGGUCAUUAGAUCUUGAUCUAGCCAUUGGAAACACUUUUGAACCAUUAGAUCAAGUCAAGAUUCAUUUUCCACCCUUGGAUCACGAAUAUGACCAUUGGAUUCCUUUUAAAAAUACAAGUGAGAUCCUAGUCAUUGGAUCCUUAUCUUUCAUUUCUAGUCAUUGAUCUAAUGAAAUUAAGUUGGUGGAAAUGUCAUUGAUUUUUUGGCAAAAAAUUGUCGAUUUUUCGAAAACAUUUCACAGAUUGUUUGAGACAACAAACACACCUUGAUUGCUCUACUUUGCCAAUUAUUUCGGGGCUCAUUGAUAAAUUAGCAAUUUUUCAGUGAUAUUUAUCAAAUUUUUCCAAAACUUUCUACAUUCAAAGUUUCCAUAUCUUAUUUCAUGUUAAGCCUUGUCGAUAUCUAAUAUUUUGACGAAAAAUCCCAAAUUUUCAAACCUUGCAUAUAAUGCCAAAUUGCCCACACAAGCUAUAAAGCUCAUUACAAGGCCACAAUACCCACAUAAGGCUACAAUGCUCAUACAAGGCCAUAGGACCCACACAAGGCUAUAAUGCUCAUACAAGGCCAUAAUACCCACACAAGGCUAUAAUGCCCAUAUAAGUCCACACUACCCAUACAAGGUUAUAAAACCCAUUACAAAGCCACAAUGCCCACACUAAGCUAUAGUGCCUAUAAAGGUCGCAAUACCCACAUAAGGCUAUAGCGCCCAUAUAAGGCUAUAGCACCCACACAAGCUUAUAUGGUACACUCAAGGCCCUAAAACUUAAGGCAAUUGAGCCCAAAUAAAAUAAUAAAAUAAAAAUAAAAUAAGGCUCAAUAAAAGGGAAACCCACUUUUAGUUAAAGUAAUCCAAGGUUACGCAAAAGUUGGAUUCCAUUUCAAGGGUUUGAUGGGUAGAAGAAAUGCUUCCAAGUCAUGGAAAUAUUUGCUCUUACAUAUGUUAAAGAGAACCCCAAUAGAUUUAAUCCAUUAUUGAUGCCUUGACCUAAAUAUAUUAUGUUGGGUGAUUUGAUAUUGGUUAGGGCUUUAAGGUGCAUGUAUCUAAGAUCCUAGGUAUAAUAAAAGUGAUUAAAAAAUCAAAAUUUUAGCCUCAUAAGGUGUGUUAGAAACCAUACCUAGCGUUUAGAAAACCCAAAACCUUUUCUACAAAAUAUGUCUUCAAACCUCGUGAUCUUCCACCCAAUGAAUCCCUUUGAUCCAUGGCACUUGUGCAUAGCGGCUAUAGACUUUUUAAGAAAGAAAAAUGAAGGCUAGGUCUUUGAAAGACCAACUCUCUCAAAGAUUAGGAAAAUUAUAGUCUAAUCCUAAAAUCCAUGGGGUUUAUAUUGACUCUCCUAUAGGCUUAAGUGACUUUAACCCAACUUGAGCAUGGUUCACUUAAUAUAGCCCAUUAGGUCCUAAGUAAUUAAUUAGCCCAAAUGGACUCCAAUUAAUUAAUUAGCUCAUACAAAAAUAAUUAAUCAUAAAAUCAUAUGCAAUCUUAUCCUUUUACAAAAUUCCUUUAUGCACAUAAAUGAUUAAUUUUUCAUAAAACCUCAAAAUAAAUAAUCAUAAGUUUCAUAUAAACCUUGCACUUUUACCAAAACACUUUUACCCACAUAUAUAAUUAAAUUUAUAAUUUCCCUCAAACCUUUGUGCAAACAAAGACAGUAAGCUCGAGGGGGGACAUCUAAAACCCAUAGAAAAAUAUUGGUUCCCUUAUAAUCCAAUUUUAAAGUUGACUUAACGCUCCCUUGAAGAGAGUCAACUGCACUCCAAUAUCCUAUGUCAUUACAUCAAGAUGAGAAUUGAUUAAAUCCAAUUUAAUUAAUUCCUUCAAUCCAUAACAUAUUAUUCCUUGCAUGUAAAUUCCCCAUGAGAUGAUGUUUAUUAUCUAAUGAGGUGAAUACUAUCAACCUCUCAAGAUUACCUUUACAAUCUUCAAGUUUUAUCAAUUUUGGAUUAAAUAUUUUGUCUUGUUGUUAUUCUAAUAACACUACGAAAAAAUUAAGUAUUAUUGAUCCACUUGUAUUUACUUUUACAAUGGAUUUAAGUUAUCACAAAUUUCUAACACAUCUAUUCUAUCGCAAAUUGAAUUGUUUGUCACUUAUAUGUAACUAUUUACCGACAGUAAUUACAACAACAAAUAUCUGUCGACAAAAAUAUUAUUGUGAUGGAUUUAAACUGUUUCAAAUGUUCAACUAUAUACUUUGUCAUAAAAGCAAUUUACCUGUAAAAAAAAUGAACUUUCAUAAACAAUUUUUUCUAUAAAAAAUGCUACUCACUAAAACAAUGUUAUUAUAAUGGAUAAUAAUACCACACAAUUUGUUUCAAAAAUAAUUGUUUUUUUAUAAAUUUGAAAUCUUUCACCAUGGUUGUAUGAUAAAUAUGAUCUAGCCUGUGACAAAAUAAUUUUAUGAUUAUUUUUUUAGUUUCAUAAAAUAUUUAUAAAGAACAUAUUUUUUAAUUAUAAUAGUUUUAACAAUUUAUCUUGAAAAUAACAAAGUUAGCUUGGUGACAUGGUUGCUUUCCUUUCAAACUUGAGGUCAUGAGUUCAAUCCCCAAAAACAAUAUUCAAACCAACAUCCAAAUCUAGCAGUGUUGUGGCUAGCCAACAACCAAGUCAAUAUCCAAAACUAGCAAGAACUAGCAAAGAGUGUAACAAGAUGCUCCAUGUGAAUGUAACGAAAUUGAGAUUUCAUGACAAUCUAAAAUAUUUUAAUAUUUACAUUUCCCAACCAACUUAACACGUUGGUAAUAGUGAUGGUUCAAAUCUAUUGAAUAGUUGGUUGCUAAUUUUUUUUUAUUGGCAACGGAAAAUUCUCAUCGAUAAACUUUUGCUAACACACCUUUCCCCAAAUACCAUGCAUCGGGAUUAUCUAUUGGUAAAUGUUUAUUCUGACAAUGUAAAACAGUCGGGAAAAGUAAAAUUUCUUAUAGUGUAUGAUCACAUUGAUUUUUUUUUUUAUGUGACAACAUUAUUAAAUACUAGCAAAAAAUGGUGUAUAGAAUUCUAUAGGAAAAAAAUUAGAGAACAAAUUUAAAUGUUCAAACUAUAAUUUGAAGCAGUUCAACCUUUUUGUGUUGUGGAGGUAAUUAACAUGAAAUUAUCAAUUAGUUUUAUCUAGAUUACAAUUUAAAGAAUUUGAAAUAUGUAGGGAAAUUCUAGAUCAUAUUUGCGACAAGAGAUAUUGUGAUAUGUACACAUAUAUUAGAAUAUCAUUUGUUACGAGAAUAUUAUAUCUAAAGUAGUUAAGAUCAUAUGAUAGAUAUGUUAUGUUAUGUUGUUUAGUUUAUAAAAAAAAUAAAAAAAUGUAAUAGAAAAUAUAUUAUAUUCCAAUAUUUUUUUUUGUUUUUUUAUAACAAAAAUACAUUGUAUAUCAAUGUUUAAUAUUAAAAAUAUAUAAAAUUUUAUAAUUUUCAGUAUCUUUUAUAAUCUUUUUAUGAUUUAUAUUUUAAUACCUAUUUCACCUAUUUUAUUUAUUUACUAAAUGAUAUUAUAAAUUGAAGUUUUUAUUAAUAAUGUGCAAAACUUAUGCAUAUGAUAGAAAUUUCUUUUUUCUUUUUUCUAUUUCUCUUUAAAUAUUGAUUGAUAAUUAAAAUAUCAUAAGCUUUAUUUUUUUCUCAACUUUGCAUAUUUUUAAAUUUUUUAUUUUUUAUUGUAAUUAAUAUUGAAAAUUACAAUCUAAUCUUUCAAAUUUAGAUCAAUCCCUUAACACAUGAAUGUAAUACAUGUAAUAAAUGUACCAUAGGUGUGCAACCCAUAUAUACUAUAGUGUAAUAGGUUGAUUGAUCUCAUAACACACAUGAAUGUAAUACACGUGUAAUGAAUGUGCAAUACUUCUCCAACUAACAUACGCCCUAAUUCAAUAGAUUGAUUGAACGUAUGAUAAUCGAAAUAAACGAAAAAAAAAAAAUCAAGCCUUGAUAAGAAAAGGAAAUAAAAAAAUAACAAUCAUAUCAUCAAAUGAAAACACCUUGUCUGCUUAGCACUCCAUUUUAGAAUUUGCACAUUUUUGUUAGUUUUUUAACUUUUAUUUUAUUUUACUUUUAAAUUAGGAGUCAUAUUUUAUUUAUAUGUUAUAUUUGAUAUUUUGAUAAUACAUUUAGAUUUGUAAGUUAAAUACUUAACUAUUAAAUUCAUAAUUUGUAUUAUAUAAGAUAUUUCAUAUUAAAAUAGUUUUUUGAUUAAACACGUAUUGUUGUAAAAAAAAAAUUAUUAGUUAAUUAUUUAGUAUCUUUUAAUUCUUUAAAAAAAUUAGUAUUUUAAAUGUUAUGAGUCCACUUUAUCUAAUAUUUUAUUUUUGUGACAAUUUUACAAGGGUUCAAGGAAAAAGAUUCAAAGCAAAAGAUAUUUUAUUUGAGAACAUCAAAGUUAAUCAAGUAAUAAUGUUGCAUUGAAAAAUUCAAAGGAUUAGUUCAUAUUUCAUAGAUGCAGUUUCAUGUCACAACAAGCCUCCAUUCAUAGUGAUAAUGUGUGGUAAGAACUCUACUAUGAUUGUCAUAUUAAUGGUUCACAUUACGUGGUUUAUGGAUAGAUGGACAUACCUCAUUCCAAAAAAGUACUAUCCAUGUAAAUAACUUUGAGCACAACAUGAAAGAAGAAGCGGCAUAAGAAUUGGUGGUAGUUUUGUAUUUCAUUCAUGUACAUGUUUUGUUAGCACCCAAAAAGCAAUCAAUUAUUUAGGAGCUCAUUCUAGACCUUUUUAUUGGAUUGUAACUAUGCAAUCAUCCUUAGAUUGAUUAGUCUUUUAGGAUGGUUGGUAGAUAACAAAAGUUAGACUAAAAUGAUCAUCCCCUAAUUUCCACUUUAUCUAAAGUCCCGAUGCAUCUUUUUUUCACUAUUAAAAACUUUUUAAAUAGUAUUGUUUGGUUGUUAUGUAAAGGCAUAUCUUGUAAUUUGGAUUUGGUACAAACUCUUAUUACUAUUUAUUGUAAUACACGAUUGUUAUUUUGUGUAUUGCAAGAUAAAUUUCAUGAAUUAGAAUGCUCUAUUUUCAAUUUAGAAUACUUCAUUUCCUUUGAAUGCUUAUGAAUGAACUGUAAAAUUUCUUUUGCCAAAAAAGGGUUAGGAUUUUAGGAUAGAGGAAGUUCAUGGUUUUUGAUAAGUGAUAACUUUCCAAUUAAUGAGAUGAGCAAAUACUACUACAUGUUAAAGGUAUAUUUCCAAUUACCUUAUCAUUUCUUUGUGAGCAAGUAUGUUUGGUUAAAUGAGGUAUUGUUUGGUUGUUAUGUAAAGGCAUACCUUGUAAUUUGGAUUUGGUACGAACUCUUAUUACUAUUUAUUGUAAUACAUGAUUGUUAUUUUGUGUAUUGCAAGAUAAAUUUCAUGGAUUAGAAUGCUCUAUUUUCAAUUUAGAAUACUUCAUUUCCUUUUGAAUGCUCAUGAAUGAACUAUAACAUUUCUUUUGCCAAAAAGGGGUUAGGAUUUUAGGAUAGAGGAAGUUCAUGGUUUUUGAUAAGUGAUAACUUUCCUAUUAAUGAGAUGAGCAAGUACUACUUCAUAUAAUUUUAUAUCAUUUUGUCUGCGUGAGAAAAAAAAUGUUUGAAUAAUACAUUAUUGGACUCAUUAACUAAAUAAGUAUGUGAAAAUAUUUCAUAUAUUUGACUUAAUAGCACACAAAAAAUGAUAAGAAAAUAAUGAUUGAAUUUUUCUCCUAUGAGCUAGGAAAAAAUGUGAAUAUACUAAUAAAAAGAAAAAAUAUAUCAAAAGUCUACAACUAAAUGUAUCCUACCUUGUUGAUUACUUAUGCUAUCAUUACCUAUCUUUUAGUUGAUCAAAUUGAUAAAUACAAGUCUUAUUUUAAGUUACUUGGUUACUAAAUUAAAGUUCUUAUUAUGGUUGACCUAUAUAUAGCAAUUUUCAUUUCUCUAUUAAUUAAAAAUGAUUUAUUUAUCUUCUAAUUGUUUAAAGGCCAACAUAUGUAGAAGAAAUGGGAAAUUUUUAUUCUCUCUAUUAACUAGGAUGAUAUAUCUAGUUUAUUCUAUUACUUAUUAUUUGAGAUAAUUCCAUAAUGAUCAUCUUACAAUUAGGUGUGUGUAGGCAGAUCAAAUUGGAGAUGGAAAUCAAAAGGAUUGACUAAUGAGUAUCAUCUCAAAUGUCGUUACCUUUGAUAUUCACUAACAUGCAAAAUAUUUAGUCAUUUAUUCUUUUACUUUUCUAUUUUUUUUACGUACAAUGAUGUUAAUCACUUUUGCAAUGUAUUACAUAUAAACUUAAGUAUCAUUUCUAGCUUGAUUUUUUUAUAUCUACUCAAACUCAAGCUUCUUCAUGAGUUCGAUUAGACUAAUGAAUUAGGUAGUAUAGAUGUGUAUUUCUCACAUUUAGUUAACUUCUAUUACUUCUUUACUCUCUUGUGCUUCUUUCUUUUUGUUUUAUGCCUUUGCAUGUGCUGAUAUUUAUAUUUGACAACUAUAUAUUAUUUCCCUAUCUACUAUGGAAAAUUUUUGUUUGCUUUCCUUAGAGGUUUCUUUAAUGCCAUAUAGAGGACUAUGACAUGAAUGAAAAUUGAAACCUAAUAUGACCUAAAUAGUUUAAGAGAAGCAAAAUGUGGGGUUCUGAUAACCAUUAAGUCCAUGGCUAGUAUCAAAGCCUUCAAUUCUCUAUUGGAAUUUAUCUUGUCUUUUAUGCUACUAUUUUGGAUUUUUGGUGUUAUAUUCUCCCCAAACUUAGUCUAUUAACCUAUGUACUUUUAUUUUUAUGGAUGAUUUAUUUUUAAAAUAGCUACAACUAUUACUCAUGUCAUUUGUAAUAUUAAAUCUAUUAUUUAUUUUAUAAUAUGUGAAAUUUGGCAUUUUUCUUUACUAUAGUUCUAUUGACUUCUAUCUAGGAACUAGGGGAAAUAGAAUGGUCAAAUGGUUAAUGGUCGGUAUGCAUCUCAUUUUUCUUCAAAGAGUAGUAUUUCAUAAAUCAUGACACUCUAAGCAAAAAGUAAAUUGGACCCAUGCAUUAUAGGAACCUUAUCUUAUAAGAAUGGUUUGUUAUGUAAAUUCUUUAUUUAUCCAUUAAAUGUCCAUAACAAAAAAAAAAAUUUUUGUUAUAAUUGCUUGUAUUUGUUGCAAGUUGCUAAUGUGAUAAGAAUUGUUAAUUAACAUGCUUUGAGAGUUAUCUGAUUGAUAUAAAUUAUUUAUCAUGUGCAUGUGUAUGAGAUGUAGAUAUGAUUAGGAAUCAACUCAUGUAUCUAAAAAUUAGAUAGGCUAUGAUUGCACAACAGGAAAGAAAAAACAACAUAAGAAUUAGUGGUAGGUUUGUAUUUUAUUUAUAUACAUUUUCCGCAAGCACCUAAAAAGCAAUUAAUUACUUAGGGAUACAUCUAGACCUUUAUAUUUUAUUGUAGUUAUGCAAUCAUCUUUAGAAAUAUUGAUUACUCCUUCAGGAUGGUUGGUGGAGAACAAGAACUAGACUAGAACAAUGAUCCCCUUGUUUCCAUCUUAUGAAAAGCUUCAAUGAUGAAUUUUCUUAUCAUUAGACACUUUUUAAAUAGUAUUACGCUAUUAUGUAAAUACAUAUCCUGUAAUUUGGAUUUGGUAUGAACUUUAGUUACUAAAUGUAAUAAAGAUUAUUAAUGUGUAUUAGAGUUAGCUUUCAUGGAUUAUAAUGCUCUAUUUUCAAUUUAGAAUGCUAUGUCAUUUCCUUUGAAUGUUCACUAAUGAACCAUUAUUGCUGCCAAAAUUUAAUAUAAUGUUUUAUAGCAUAGAUUUAAUGAUUUGUAUGUGAUCAAUUAUACACAUUAUUUUCUGAGAAUUGUUGGUGUUCAAUACAUGAAAAUUUGAUAAAAAUUUAGUGUUUUUUGUUAGAUAUUAUUGUUUUAAAAUUUUGUAUUUGUUUUAAAUCGCUAACUCCAAUAGAUCAUAAGAAAAAACACACACUUUUGCUCCUAUUGAGAAAUAAUGAGAUGAGAGAUGUCAAAAUUAAAAAUUAUAUCCACAAGUCCAACAUUAGAACCUAUUGAAAAAUCAAUUCAUGAGCUAGAAAUAGGUACUACAUAUUUGGCUUAAUGAAUACCUGAUGUGAAAUCUUUUCAAUUUUAGAUUGAAUAUUUUGUCUGCAUUUGUUGUUAUACUAAUCUAACUAUGUUAAUGAUUUUAUAUAGGACAACAUUAUUGAAUGCUAAUAGAAUAUGAUAUAUAACAUUUUAUAGAAAAAAACUAGAGAAGAAAUUCAUAUGUUCAAAUUGUAUAUAAAGCAAUUUAACCUUUUAUGUCAUUGAGGUAAUUAACAUUAAAUUAUCAAUUAACUAUAUCUAAAUUCAAAUAAUUUGGAAUAUUUGAGGAAUUCUACACCAAAGAUAUAUUAUAUGUUUGGUUUGUGAAAAGAAUGAAAAAUGUGAUAGAAAAUAUAUUAUAUUCUAAUAUUUGUUAUUUUUUUAUAAUAAAAAUAUAUCACAUUUCAAUGUUGAUAUUAGAAAAUAUAAAAGAAAAAAAUUGUGUUUAGUAAUUUUUAUAAUAUUUCUACAAUUUAUAUUUUAAUACAUAUUUUACCUAUUUUUAUUUAUUUACUAAUUGAUGUAAUAAAUUUAAAUUAUUUGUUUAUAAUGUGCAAUACUUGUACAUAUGAUACAAUUUUUUUUUUUUUUACUUUUAUGUUGAUUUAUAAUUAAAAUAUUAUAAGCUUUAUUAUUUAUCUGCUUUACAUACUUUUAAAUUAUUUCAUUUUUAUUAUAAUUCAUAUCAUAAAUUAUAAUCCAAUUAUAAAAAAUUUACUAUUUUUCAUUUUGUAUAAUAUAAAAAUUAGAACAAGUCAAGACAUGUGUGAAUAUCUAAAAUACCCCUUAAAAAAUCAUCAACUUAACAUAAUGUGCAAUAAACGUGCACCCACAUGAAAUAAAAUUCAAUAGGUUGAUCUCUAAAUAUAUAUGUUAUGAAUGUAACGCACAUAUAAUUAAUGUGAAAUAAAUGUACAACCUACAUGCACUAUGAUGUUUUAUAUCCAUCUAUGAAUGCAAAAAAAAGUGUGAACAUAAUAAUAGAAAGAAACAAAAAAAAAAAUUCACAAUCACAUCAUCAAAUGGGAAUGUCUUGUCUACUGAGUGUGUCAUUCUAAAACUUGCAGUUCUUGAUGGGUUUAUUAACUUUUACAUUAUUUUACUUUUAAAUUAUGAGUCAUAUUUUAUUUUAUAUCUUGUAUUUGAUAUUUUGAUAUUACAUUUAUAUUUUUAUUUUAUAUACUUAGCUAUUAAAUUCAUAGUUUAUAUUAUAAAAAUGUCAUAUUAAAUACUUAGUUUAUGGAGAUGAAUAUGCCCUGUUUCAAGAAAGUACUAUCUUCAUAAAUAACUUUGAGUCAAUGAUUGAGGUUAUGAUAGUACUAUAGAAAUAACAUAAAAGUUGGUAAUCAUUUUAUAUUUCAUUUAUCUAAAUUUUCCACUAGCACCCAAAAAGCAAUCAAUUACUUAGGUGCUCGUUCUAAACCUUCAUUUUUUAUUAUAAUUAUGCAAUCAUACUUAGAUAGAUUGAUUAAUCCUUCAUGAUGAUUAGUGGAGUAUGGUACAACUUCUAUUUAUUUUGGUAAAUACUAAAAUACAGGUCUAGAAGAUAGACUAGAAUGAUUUACUAAUUUCUACCUUAUCAAAGCUUUCAUCAUGUUUUUUUUUUUUACUAUUAACUACUUUUAAAUAGUACUACUUGGUUGUUAAGUAAAACAUUUAUUGUAAUUUAGAUUUAAUAUGAACUUUAGUUACUACUUGAUGUAAUAAUUAUUAUUAAUAUGUAUAUUAGGGUUAGCUUUCAUGGAUUAGAAUGUUGUGUUUUUGGUUUAGAAUAUUACGUCAUUUCCUUUCAAUGCUCACUAAUAAAUUGUAACAUUUCUUUUGUUGUCAAAAUUUAAUGUGAUAUUUAUACGAUGAAUACAAUUAUUUGUAUAUGAUUAAUUCUACAUUUAUUAUUUCCUGAGAAUAGUUUGAGGCCAAUAUAUGAAAAAAUUUGAUAAAAUUUGUAUUUAUCAAAUGCCCUAGUGAUGCAUUUUUUUUUUACUACUUAACGCUUUUUUAAAUAGUACUAUUUGAUUUUUAUGUAAAGAUAUGCCUUGUAAUUUGGAUUUUGUAUGAAACUUAGUUACUACUUGAUAUAAUAAUGUCACGGAUUAUAAUGUUCUAUUUUUUAGUUUAGAAUGUGAUGAAGUAGAAGCGUAGAAUAAAUUUGUAGUUCGUUGAUUCAUGUAAAAUACCAUAAAAUAAUUAUGCAAGUAAUUUGUUGAUCCAAAGAAUAUCGAAAAAAAAAUGAAGAAGGGGUCAUGAAUUGACCAUAGAACCCUAUUCAAUAAGUGGAACACAUUAGUUGUCCAUAAUUACUGAAAUUUUUAUUGAAAAAAUCACUAUUGCAUCACAAUCCUCUCAAUCCUUUUUAAAUAAACCAUUUAAAAUUCAAACUAAAAGAAAUUGGAAAAGGAAACCUAUCCUACGUUAAGUAAAAUAAAGGUAAUUAUCUCUAUCUAAAAUUGAAAAAGAAAAAAUAAAAAAAAUAAACUUAAUUCCUAUCUAUAUGUGUUGCAUUAAUUUCACCAAGUAGGAAAAGAUUCGACCUUGAACGUUGUUAUCUCUAGAAAAAUGUUGUUAUUUGUUAGUUUUUAUAAUAUAAAUAUAUUGCAUCUCAAUGUUUGAUAUUAGAAAAAUAUAAAAUUUUAUCAUAUGUAGUAUUUUUUAUAAUCUUUCUAUAAUUUACAUUUUAAUACUAUUUUUUUUAUUAAAUGAUAUUAUAAAUUGAAUUUAUUUAUUUAGCACGUGCAAAACUUGUGCAUAUGAUAUAAUUUUUUUUUUCUUGCAUGUUGAUUGAUAAUUAAAAUAUUUGCUUUUUAUCAAUGUUUUCAGAACCGGACUGGUGAUUGAACCGGAAAAGUUACCGGUUCACGGUUCACUAGUCGAACCGGCGGUCGAACCACGGUCGAACCAGUGAUGUCAUAAAUAUAUAAUUUAUAUAUUAUUAAAAUUAAAAAUAAUUAUAAAAAUUUUAAAAUAUAUAUGAAUAAAUUAAACAUCAAUAAUAUUAUUUUAUAUCUUUGAUAUUAUCAAAUUAAAUCAUAUUAAUAUUUUAAAUUUUAUCAAAUGAAAUAUGUAUAAUAUUUAAAUGUGAAUAUAUAAAAAAUGAAAAUUUAAACUAAUUUCAUAAUUUUUAAAAAUAUUAUAUUAUUUUUAUUUAAUAUUAUAAAAAAAUUUUAAAAUUUAAUAUAUAUUGUUUUGUUUGGCAUAUUAGAUAUCAAAAUGCAUGUAGUCGAGUGGUGUCCUAGGUAGACUACAACCGAGGUGGUCCAAGGUUCAAACCGAGAUUUGUUAUGUUUUUUUUAUAUUUAGCAAUCCCACAUCGGAAAAUAAGAGGAAUAAGGAGUCAAAUGACUCCUAUAAAAGCCAUCCUCGGCAAGGGCAUUUCAUAAUCUUGUGGGCUCAAGACUCAGCCCAUAGUGAUUAAAGUGGGUGUAUGGGCUCUGUCAUAUGACAUGCCCAACAUGGGCUUUAGUAAAAACCAUUUAAAUUCUAUGGAAUCCCUUCUUCCAUGCUUACAAAAUGAGGGGUAAUUUGAAUCAUUCGAUUCGUUUAGAACCAUCCGGUUCCACCGGGUUACCGGUUCGACCACUGGUUUAGGCGAUUCGUGGCCGGUCCAAUACCCAAGUGGUUAAAAAGGGUAAAUCGGACCGAAAAUGCAACCGAUUGAGGGUUGAACUGGUUGGACUGGCCGGUCCGGUCUGGUUUUUAAAACAUUGAUUUUUAUAUGUUUAUAAUAUUUAAUUUUUGUUGUAACUCAUUGUAGACCCCCUCCCGGGGAGGAGGAGUUUUUGGCCAUUUUUAUUUUACUAUCAUGAUUACUCUUCUGACCACCCCGGGAAUUAGGCUGAUGGGGGCAGCCAGAUUAGACGGAAUGCAAAGAGUAGGUGAGGGUUGGGAAUAAAAAGAGCGGGAAAAGGAAAGAGCUAAGAGAAGGGAUUUUUUUUUUAGAGAAAGGGCAGAACGAGAGGGCUGAUGGGGGGCGUCUGAAAUUUUUUUUGGGUCCGAAGCUGGGGAGAAACACGGGCCUGCAGGCUGGGAAGAGAGCUGGGGCAUCUGCAAUUUUUUUGGGUCCGAAGCUAGGGAGAAAAAUGGAGGAUGGCUCGAGGAGAAGAGGUUUGAAGAAGUGACAAAAGAGAGAUUUGUGAGAGAGUAGAAAUGGGCGUCUCAAGCUGAGUUGAGGAGGAGUUUGAAGCUUCGGUCCAGGUAAGAUUUCUGCAUGUUUUACAUACCUCACUUCAGUUUGCUUUAUUCUAUUUCUUGUUAAUUUCGGUUCCUGCUUGGUGCUUAUUAUAUGGAUAGCGAGACAUAUGAUGCGUUAGAGAGCGUGUGUAUUGGAUUGAGAUCAAUUAAAGGGGUGGAAAAGAUGUCCAAUUAUAUGAUCAGUAGUGGGUUUGGUCCGGAUGAGUAUUUGGGGAACAAGUUCUUGUUGAUGCAAGUAAAAUACGGGAUGAGGAUUGAUGCACACGGACUGUUUGAUGAAAUGCCAAUAAAGAAUAUUUUAUAGUUUUUUUAACACCCCUACACAUGAUUCUCCCAUUCAUAUCAUAUUUGCUUCAAAUCCCGGAAGCGACCCCCACUAGCGACGUUGAGCCGAAGCUCCUCGCCGUCGGCGACGAGGAGAAUGACAGGCUGCAAGCUUGCAUGGGGAGGUGCCUACAGCUGCUAUUGGUCUUGGAGGUUUGGGCCACCAUGCUAGUGGAUUUGGGCCUGAGAUGAAGCCCCAAACCCAAAUAUGAUGGUGAAAAGGCUUGGGUCCUUUUGCUAAUGGAUGUGGGCUUGGGAUGAAGCCCAAAUCCAAGCUUGAUGAUGGAAGGCCCCCAUGAUUUGUCCAUCCACUUUAAGAUCGGCCCAUACUCAUUUCAAGCUGGCCCAUCUGGUUGUUUCCACCUUAUAUAGUUCACUUUCUCUAAAUCACUCAUUUCUCAAUAAACUCUCUAAUUUCUAAUUUCCAAGCCCAACUUACAAAAAUUCAAUCUUCAAAUGAAACUUCAAAAUUCAGAUUUUUAACAUUUAAUUCCAAUUUCCGAAUUCUCAUAUUCCCAUUAAUUUAUUUGAUCAUUAGUAUUUCAUUUAUUUAUUUCAAAGCUUCAUUCUAAAUCAAAUUCUUCUAAAACUUCUGAUUACCGAAUUAAAUUUCAAAAAUUCCAAUAUUCACAUUAAUCUAUUUAAUUAUUAUUAUUUUAUUUAUUUAUUCUAAAAUUCCAUUUUAAACAAUUCAUUAAAAUUUCCACUUCCGAUUUUAAUUUCUAAUUCCAAAAAUUCCAACAUUCACAUUAAUCUAUUUAAUUAUUAUUAUUUUAUUUAUUUAUUCUAAAAUUCCAUUUUAAACAAUUCAUUAAAAUUUCCACUUCCGAUUUAAUUUCUAAUUCCAAAAUUCCAAAAUUCACAUUAAUCUAUUUAAUUAUUAUUAUUUUAGUUAUUUAUUUUGAAAUUCCAUUUUAAACAAUUCUUCAAAUUUCCAAUUUCUGAACUUAAUUUUCGAUUUCCAAAACUCUAAUUUUUUUCAAAUUUAAUAUCCAAAAUUCAAAUUCUUAAAUUUAAUUUUUCAAGAUUCCAAUCUUUAAAUAAUUUUCGAGACUCUAAUUUCCAAAUAAAUCUCAAAAAUCCAGUUUUCUCUCGAAUAGCUUUAAUUCCACUCCGAUUUUUAAAUAAUGUUCUAUUUUUUUUUUAUUUUUACACAAGCAAGAAUGAUGAGUCUUCAUAAUUCCGAAAUAAUGGGAUUCGCGAGAUUAAUUCAAGCAAGAUCAAUCGGGCUUUGGUGGGGGCCCCACAUAUGUGAUUUUAUGACUGACUGAUUGAUUAAUUGAUUUAUUUACCAUGCUUGUUUGAUUUAUUCUGUUCGUUGACAUGCGCAUAAUUUUAUCUAUUCGUCAUUCACUAAUCCUGUUUCAUGAUAGCACAUUCGUGACUGGAGGACCAGGUACGCAUCCACUCAUAUUUUGUUCAUUCUUUAUACAUGCUCUGCUUCCCACGUCGUGCAUGAUUAAGGUGAGUAUCCAUUGACUUUCUCAUUGGUUGCCACGUCAGCUUCAUUCUAUUAGUAGAGACCCGAUUUCAUGGACUUAGAGGGGUGCUACGGUUCAUACCAUACCUUCCCGAUAAGUAACCUGACCCCCGAGCCCGAUCCGGUUUUUUAUAGACCACCUUUUCCAGAAUAAGGAGUCACACUUAGGGUUUUUCUUAUUUUGUUUAUCCUUUUUUAAAAAUAAAACAAAAAUAAGUGGCGACUCCAAGUCAGAUUUUUAAUGAAUAAAAAUCAUUUUUUUAAAAUAAAAAUCGAGUUCGCCAUCGAGUGGGAAACGCAUUGAGCCAAAAUGCGAGGUCCACACUCAUAAAAAAUUAUAAUUGAAAUAUCAAAAUUUUAAUAUUUGUUACUUUAUAUAACAUAAAAAUUAUGACAAAUUAAUACAUAUGUAGAGUACUAAAAUAUCCCUUAAAAUUCAUAAACUUUACACACAUGUAAUGAAUAUGCAUUAUAGGUGCAACCCAUAUGCGUGCAAUGUCCGUAUAACCCAUAUGCAAUGUACAAUAUAACUAAUAUAGAAAAUAGUAUAUCAUGAAAGAAUAAUAAUAGAAAAAACUAAAAAAAUCUAGACUUGAUAAGAAAAUGAAUCAACAAGACAAACAUAUCAUUAAAUGGAAGCUUCUUAUCCAUUGGAUGUUUAAUUUUAAAACUUUCAACUAUUUAUAAGUUUUUUAACUUUUAUUUUAUUUUACUUUUAAAUUAGGAUUCAUAUUUUAUUUUAUAUCUUGUAUUUGACAUUUUAAUAUUACAUUUAUAUUUUAACAUUAUAUACUUAACUAUUAAGUUUAUAGUUUAUAUAUAUAUAUAUAUACAAAGAUAUUUCAUAUGAAAAUAGUUUUAUGGCUCAAAAAUAUUAUUGUAAAAUAUUUAUAUUCGUUAAUUAUUUAUUGUAUUUUAAUUAUUUAAUUUUUUUUUAGUAUUUUAAAUGUUAUGAGUCUACUUCAUCUUAUAUUUUAAUUUAUGACAAUUUUAAUUUUAAAUAUUUCAUUUGAGAAUAUGGAAGCUAAUCAAGUAGAGGUGUUGCAUUGAAAAAUUGAUGGGAUCAAUCCAUCUAUCAUAGAUGCAGUUUCAGGUCACAAUGAUCCUCCAUUCAUAGUGAUUAUGUUGGGCAACAACUCUAUCAUAAUUGAUAUAUCUAUUGUUUUCAGUAUAUAAUUUAUGGAGUUGGACAUGUGUUAUUCCAAAACAAAAAACAAAAAACAAAAAUUUAUAUAAAUAACUUGAAGCCAAGGUUAAGGGUUGUGAUUGCACCAUAAGAAAGAAGAAGCAAUAUAAGAGUUGAUGACGACAUUAUAUUUCAUUUAUGUACAUUUUCUACUAGUGCCUAUAAAGUAAUUAAUUACUUAGAUGUUCCUUCUUGACCUUUGUUUACAUCUCAAAAUUAUAUUCUUGUUGUCAAUUAGCACCUAAGUGCAAAGACUUUAAAUUGAUAAUACUUUAAAAGUAUCCUAAUAGUCAAUCCCAAAGAAAGUGACGGAGAAAUCAGUUUAAAAAAGAGAUAAAAUGCAAGUAUUAGAGGUUAAUUAAUAAGUUGGGAUAUAAUCAAAUUGAGUAGGUGAAGUAUAAACUAUUGUAGAAUUCAUUUUAACCAUUUCCUUCUAUAUUUAAAACAUAUCAAAAUCAAAAUCAAAUACAUAUGUAGCCAAAUAAACAAUUUCUACCAACAUAUAAAAUGUCAUUUUAAUUCAUGCACGAACGAAAGGUAAACCCUACUUGUAAGCUAACUUAUUGAAUUCAAAAAAGCAAAGAAGUGUUUUGAGAGAGAAACGAAGAACAACAGUGCAAAGAAGAAUAGAAAGAGAAAAAAAUGUCUAAAAUAUAUAUCUUAUUUCUGUCUUUUUUUUUUUUUUUUUGCAUAUAUUUAUAUAUGAGAGAGUAUAACUAAAUUUUUUUUGUUGUAACUACAUUUGGUGUAUAUGGACCUACUUUUGUUUUGAGCUUGUGAGUUGGUGCUUUACAUGUGAGGCUAAGGGAUGCUUCUAGAAUUAUUCUCAACACUUCCCCGCAAGCAUAACUGCCAGUCACACACAAUAACCUUGGACCUCAGAAUUUCAAAUAAUUUUGUGUAACUGAUUUUGUGAGCAUAUCAACAAUCUGAUCUACAAUGGGUACAAACCUCACUUCAAACUCUUUCCGACCCACCUUCUCCCGUAUGAAGUGUACAUCAAUCUCCAUAUGUCUCGUUCAAGAAUGAUAUACAGGAUUAUCAACCAAAAUUGUUACUCCAAGAUUGUCACACUAGACAACUGCACUUUGUGGUAGUGAUAUGCUCAACUCACUUGAUAGGGAUUGCAACCAAGUUAUGUUUGCUACUACUUGAGCUAAAGCUUUAUAUUCAAACUCAGUGCUUGAAUGAGUCACAACUCUUUUUUUUUUUUUUUUUUUUAAACCCAUAAAAUCAUAUUGCCACAAAAAAAAAAAAAAAAAAAGUAUGUAGUAGCCACCAAUGGAAUAUCACUCAUCGGUAUCACUCUCCCAAUCAACAUUUGAAUAGGCAAUGAGAUCAAAAGAAGUUGGGCAAAAAAAAAAAAACCAAAGGUGGAAGUGCCUUUUAGAUAACACAAUACACGCAUGCAAGCUUGUCAAUCAAAUAGAGUAGAUUGUUAUAGAUAUUGAUUGACUAUAUUGACAAUAUAAGAAAGUUGUGAUUAUGAUAUAUUAGAGAGCAUUGAUGGUACUACAAUAAAGAGUAGGAUUAUCAAAAGGAGCAUUGUCUAUAUAACUCAAUUUCCUUCUUAGGUUGCUAGAGUAAGAGCAAGCUUGCCACCAAACAUUUUGCUACAUUACAACAAAUCAUGGAUGUAACAAAACUGACAUAAGUGAAGGCCAGAUGAUGUCCAAAGAGCUUAUAUACCAAGAAAAAAAAUAUAAGGAGCCAAGUCGCUUCAAAGAAAUUAAAUUGUUGAUGCAAAUGAUCAAUGAGAGUGUUAAUGACAAAGGGAUGACUGCUAGUGACAAGGAUGUCAUAUGUUGGAUAUUUUGGUAAUUAUGGGCCUACUUAUUAACACAUUAUACAUUAAAUUAUCUUGUUUUUGGGUCUAAUUAAAUGCAAUCAAUUAAGUUGAUGAUGGGCCUUUAAAGCAUCUCUAUAUAUAUAAACUAUAUGGGCUUUGCAAUGUGUAGAGACCAAUUUUAUUUUAUUUAUUAAUGAUGGGCCGAUAAAUAAAAUAAAAUAAUAAAGGGUAUAAAUAGGGUUAUGGUCCCCAGUUUAAACGAGGAUAUAAAAAAAAUUAUUUGUUAUUCACAUCUCAUCAAUGAGUGAUUUGAGGCUACAAUACUCGUUUCAAACAUAGAAGACAAGACCCAAGUACAUAAUCUCAAUGGAUUCAAGUAUGUCUUUCGAUAUUAUUAUCCCAUAGAUUUAACAUGAGAUUUUGAUGUAUCUAUUGUCUAAAUGAUUAGUUUCUAUAAUCAUUCUAUAUGAUUUGUGAUUCUCCAACAUCAUCAACCUAAAGAAGAAACAAAAUCAACAUGGAGCCCUUGUGAAGAAUGAACAAGGAUGUGUUAGCUUGGGAAUUCCAAAAACCAAAAUGGAGGAGACAAUUCCUCAAUCGUUCAUAGCAAGCACAAGGGGCCUAGUCAAGGCCAUAUAAGGCUUUUCGAAGCUGACAAACAUGGGUGGGCUUGGUGACAUCAACAAACCGCUUCAAUUGUUUCAUAGACAUAUUCAUGGAGCCAUCUACGAAGGAAAGCAUUGUUAACAUUUAAUUGUUGGAUGUCCUAGCCAUGAGUAACAACAAGACUUAAGAUAAUGCAAAUGGUAGAAAGAUUGAUGAUAGGAACAAAAGUGGCAGAGAAGUCAACCCCAAGUGUUUGAUGAAACCUCUUAGCCAUAAGCUUGACCUUAUAGUGCUAAAUAGAACCAUUCGAAUUAAGUUUCAACUUAAAAACCCACUUAUCCCCAAUGACUUUCAUUUGAGGUGAGCAAAGAACAAGAGACCAAAUUUGGUUCUGAGUUAAGAUAUCAAAUUUUGACACCAUCCAAAUUAAGUUACAACUUAAAAACCCACUUACUCCCAAUAACUUUCAUCUGAGGUGAGCAAGGAAUGAGAGACCAAGUUUGGUUUUGAGUUAAGGUAUUAAAUUUUGACUACAUAACUUGUUUCCAUAGAGGAUGAGAUAAAGUUUCGACAAUAGAAGAGGGUUUAAGUGAAUGGGAAGAAGUAGGAAGGGUAGUGAGAAAGGAAAGUUUAGGUUUGAAUAUGCCUGACUUGGAAUGUGUUUGCAUAUGAUGGGAAACAGAUUAAAGAUACGAUGACACAAGGGAUAAAGGAAGAGAGAGAGAGAGAGAGGUCGUAGUAGAGAAUGGGGUGGGAGAAUGAAGAGUUGGGCUAGUAGAUACAUGGUAAGUAGGGAUGCAAAGUGAAGAAACAAUGGGAACUUGGGAAACCUAGUAUGCACCAUGAUCAAUCAAGAAAAAGCUUGGAGAGGAAGACAAGAGGGAGACCUAAGAGAAGUGUGUGAGGUAGGCGAGGAAAAAAUAGUAGACACAUUGAUAUGAUGAUGUUGAAACUUAAAAUUAUAGGGAAAAGGGAAAUUAGUUUCAUUAAACACAAUAUAAGUAAUAUAAGCUUGACCAAAAGAAUCAUGACAUUUAUACCUCUUGUGGACAUCACUAUACCCAAUGAAAACACAUUUUUUAGUGUGAAAAGAAAACUUAUGGGUGUCAUAAGCAUGAAGGUUGGGAAAACAAGUGUAACCAAAGCUUUUAAGGAAAACAUAAUCAGGAAGGGUGCCAAAGAGUUUAUGAUAUGGAGAAGAGAUAUGGAGGACAGGUGUGAGUAACCUAUUGAUGAGAAAUGUGGCAGUAUGAAAGGCUUUCCACCAUAAAUGGAGAGGUAAUUAUGCUUGUGCUAAUAAGGUGAGACCAUACUUAAAUACAUGUCGAGGUUUGUGCUCAACACGACCAUGUUGUUGGUGCACAUGGAGGCGAGGAUGACGAAAAUGAAUUCCAUGUUUGAGAAGAAUAGGAAGAAAAGGUAUGCACUCCCAACCUCAAUCAGAUUGAGAGGCUUCAAUAGACAACUUGGACUAUUUUUCAACAAUCACUUUGAAGAUAAGAAAGAUAUUAAGGGCAUUAGAUUUAGCUUUUAAAGGAUAAAUCCAGGUAAACCAAGUAUAUUCAUCAAUAAAAUAAAUAUAAUAGAAGAAACCAAUACUGGACUUGACAGGAAAAAGCCCUCACAUAUCAAUAUGAAUCAACUGAAAAGGUGUCAUUUUGGUUGGAGUUAGGAUUAAAAAAAAAACAUAAUUUUUUCCAAACUAAUAAGAAUCACAAAAACUUGGAGAUAAGUUUCCAUUAUACAAAAAAAAAAAAAAAAAAAAAGGCAUUACAAGACAUCAAAACAAACUUGAGUACAUGUAGAGAUGAGUUACCCAACCUUUGGUGUCAGACAUCAAGUUGAUUAUAUCUAACAAACUUUAAAAUUGGACAAUAUUAGAGCAACAACUCUAGUUGAGAAUCUCGUUUAUCAUUCUCAAACAAAACAUAUAAAGAUUGAUGUACACUUCAUAUGGGAGACGGUGGUUUAAAAAGAACUUAAAGCGAGGUCUGUACCCACUAUUGAUCAGAUGUUAAUGUGGUUACAAAAUCAAUUUUAUAAAAUAGAUUUGAAAUACUAAGUUCUAAGCUUACCAUGUGUGACUGACAAUUGCGCUUAUAGGGGGUGUUAAGAAUAAUUCUAGAAGCAUCUCUUAGCCUCACAUGUAAAGCACUAGCUGAUCACCAACUCAAGACAAAAACAGAUCCUUAUACGCUAAAUGCAGUUACAACAUAAAGAAUUUGAUUGUAUGUUCUCAUAUAUAAAUAUAUAUAUAUAUAUAUAUAUAUAUAAUGCAUUAUAGGCAUUUUUUUUCUCUUUGUUUUUCUCUACACUAUUAUUCUUUGUUUCUUUCUCAAAACAUGUCUUUGUUUUUUUGAAUUCAUUCAUGGUAUCAGAGCUCUUGUCCUUCACAAAGCAAUGAUUCUGGUGAAACUCAACAUAAACAUUAUUAUCUACAGUGAACUUGAAAAUGCUUAAAAGAUUUUUAGUAAUUUUUGGAGAAUGUAAAAUAUUUCAAAGAUGCAAGGUUUUGAGAAAAGAAAGUAAAGAAGAAUAACCAAUAUUUUGAAUGCAUAAACCUUGACCAUUGCCUAUAGUAACCUUGUCAUGACCAUGAUAAUCAAAUUUAAAGCUCAAGUUGUCUUGAUUACUAGUCACAUGGGUUGAUGCACCAUUAUCAAAGUACCAAGAUGGAUUUGUUACUAUAUUUGGAAGGGCAACCAUAACAACUAAGGAAUUACUUUAUGGAGACUGAAAAACUUAAUCAAAUUAGUAGUAACAGUUUAUAACAAUGUGUCCUUGUCAACCACAAACUUGAUAAGUUGGGUAAGAUCCGUUGCUUUUACCACGACCACCAUGCCCUCGACCAAAAUUCUAAAUACCAUGAAGAGUAUUACAACCCCCAGUAUGUGCCCUAUCAUUUCCAUGAAUAUUUCUAGAGCCACGACCACCCUUGUAAGUACCAACUACUGUAAAAUUGGUAAAGACAUUUUGGAGAUCAAUUUGUGUGCAAGAAUUCAACUACUCGAUCCAAGUUUCAUGAUUCUACAACAUUGUACAUACUUUUGGUAAAAUGAAAGUUAUGAUUGUGCUAUAACAUUAAUGACAACUACUAGAUCAUAUUAUGUUCCUACACCAACCAACCCAUUCAUUAUAAGAUCCUCAUCAGUAAGAGAUGUUCCAGAUGCUACUAGAUUAUUUGCAAUGGAUUUGAUUUUGCUAAUAUAAUCAGUUAUUAAGAUAAAGCCUUUUUUGGUUAUCUACAUUUGUAUUUUCAACUAAAGCAACCUUGCCUUGGAAGGUGAGGCAAAGAGAUGCUUCAAAGCUUCCUAGACUUGCUGAGAAGUGAUACAACCUACAAUUUGACCAACAACACCUUCUAACAUUAAGGCAAUCAUCCAGCCAAAGGAUCAACUGAUCAUAUCUUUGCUAGUAAAAAUACUUUGGAUUUAUCAUUUGAUUAAGGCCAAAGAAAUCACCUACAACACUAAUAAACUCAUCCAAGCAAGGUUCCAUUCCAAUAACAAAACCAUCAAUACCAUGAACUUUAAGUACAGGAAGGAUCUAUGACCUCCAAAUAAGGUAAUUACCUCUUUCCAACUUGAUUGAUAGAGUGAAGUUGAGAUUAGAAACAACGGAAAUAAGAUUAAUAAAGUAGAAAAACACCAUUUCUAGAUUUGUAGUUAUGGUUAGAGUUGCAAUAGUGGACAUGAUAGGAGUCAAUCACCAAGUCUCACAUUGCUCUGAUACCAUGAUUGAAUUAAAAAAUAAAUAAAUAAUAGAGAAGUGUUUUGAGAGAGAAACAAAGAGUAAAAAAAAUGCUUAGAAUUCAUCUUUUUUUUUUUUUUUUUUUACAUAUAUUUAUAUAUGAGAGCAUACAAACAAAUUCUUUUUGUUGUAAUUGCAUUUGGCUUAUAUGGAUCUACUCUUAUCUUCAGCUGGUGAGCUUUACAUGUGAGGCUAAGGGAUGCUUCUAGAAUUAUUCUCAACACUAACCAACAGCAUGCUAAAAUUGAUGAAUUGUAACAUUUGAACAUCAUCCAUUUUUAUUGAAAAAAAUGAAGUCCAAAAUUGAUUUCCCAAAAAAAUUAAAUUACACUACAUGGUUUUCGAUUUUUUGAACAUGCUGGAAAAUCAAUAAUACACUUCAUUUUUCUGGAAAAUCCAUGAAUUGAGGUAGGCCAGACCCCAAUUAGUCUACAAAAAACCUCCAUUUGGUUGCUAUGAAAACACAAGAAAAUAUAUUUUCAAAAACUGUACAGAAAAAAAAAAAAAAAAAAGGUUUUGAUAGAGAACCUUCUUCAAUGAAGCUUUUUUAGGUGUAGAGAGGUUUCAGGUGGAAUGAAUUAAGAGAGAUCUCCCAUGUAGUCUUCAUCCUCAUUAUCAUCAUCUUUUGUGGUUAUGUUAUUGAAUGAAAAUAGAGGAUGAAAGUUUCAAAAUGGGCUUGUGGAGUUUCUAUGGUGUGAUUAUCAAUGAGAUUGUGGGAAGCUUUCCUCAAUUGGCUUCGUAGGUGAACUCUUUUGUUUCUCCAAUUGAUUUUUGAUUGGUUACUAGUUUUUGUUUGUUUAAGAAGAAUUUUAUUCUAGGUAGAUUUUUAAUUUUAUUUAUUUUUUAUUUUGAAUUUUAUUUUUCAUUUAAGUGUGUCAUGUAGCCACACCUACAUACAAUUUAAAUAUAAAAUAAUAUAUGAUGUAACAGCUUAAAUAAGUAUUUUUGUCCCUUACUUUUUCAUAUCCUUUUAUCAAUUUCCCAUCAAUUGUGGGUAUUAUAUGGAUGUUGAGCCCAUUAUCAAGCCCAUAUGAAGUGAAAGCAUAAUUCUCCCUAAAGGAUUUAGCUUUUUUUUUUUUUUUUUUUUUGUGUGGGGGGAAUAGCAAUGACCGUGGCCAUUGCUCUACCGUGGAAUUCCAAUAAAGGCAGUCAGUUGUGCAUUUAUUCUUCAAACAACCCUCUUUUACAAUUUUUUGUUUUUUUUUUUAGAAUUUACUAAAAUUGUAAAAAAUUCACCCCACUUUUGAAAUAAAUAUUCAAAAUUCGGUCUUUAAUAUAAAUUUAAAAAUUGCAUCUCAAAAAUUGCGGCUUUAAUACAUAUUUAAAAAUCAUAUUAUAAAUUUGUAUUUGAUACCUUUUAAUCAAUUAAUUCUAAAAUUAACCAUCACAGGUGUAAUGUUAACAUGGGAAAGGAGGGCAAAUAUCUAAAAACAGAUCUAUAUCUGCAGAUGAUAGGUACUCUCAAGCGGUGGAUGGUGUGAACCAACUUAUGAAGCUGCUUCUUCUCAACCAUAGGUCGUUCAUGGCAGCCCCUCUGGGUUCAGUCAGGAGGGCUUUGUUGUCUACGUGUUCUGCCGUCAAAUGGGAAGGUGGCGUUUCCAUGGUUCAGGGAGCUUCCAGAGGAAUUGGCCUUGAGUUUGUGAGCAUUUACUCAUUUUCAUUUUAUGCCCUCCUUUACAUAAUAUUUUAUCACUGAUUUCUAUUUCUUUCUUCAGUUGUAUGAUAAUGUGGCAUUUUCAUUUGCAUAAUAUUGUGGAAAAAUGUGGUUUGUUUCCAGGACUUUCUUGAAGCAUGGUAUGCCUUAUUUGCCUAUGCUUGAUUGGUUGGAAUUGAAAUUUUGUGGCAUUGUUCAGUAAUUACUGAUGGUGUUUUUUUUUUUUUUUUUUUUUUUUUUUUUUUUUUUUUUUUUUUUUUUUUUUUUUUUUGUCUUGGGUGGGUGGGGACUGGGGAGGAAGUCUAAGAUGGUGAAUGAAUACUCCAUUUAGCUUUGCUUAGAGUUUGGGUUCUGGGCAUGAAAAUCUGUCUAUGUAGAGUGGUGUUAUUGUGUUAUCGAUGCACUCUUUUUCUUGAUUUCCUUUUUGAUAUAAACUUUCUAUGAACAUUCUCAUCCAAUCUGAAUACUUAAAUCAGGGAAGACAACCCUAUUUUGGUGAGUUCGAGUAGUCUUAGGUCCAAAAUUCCAGUCGAGUCUUGGGUCAAACUUGGAUAUGUUGGCUUCUUGUCUGACCUGGAACUGACCAAGCUCUGAAUUUCUCACCCUUAUUUCUUAUAUUUCUGAAGAAGUCUAAAAUCUUUUGCUUAUAUAAAUAUUCCUGAAAGUUUGGGGUGAAAAAUUCUCUUCAGAAAUACAGGUUUGGAAGUUGUUUGGUUUUAUUUUGAGGUUCUUGACUCAAGCUAAUUUGUGCUAAUUGCAUGUAAACUAAUAUAUUGUAUAUAAUACAGUCAUAUUAUUGUAAUAUUUAUAUUAUCAUAUAAAAUACAUUGAAAUUUUUGGCUGUAUUCAGUUUCAUUGAUUUUAAAUCAGGCCAGUUCUGGAGAUAGGUUGUUCUCUGAUCAGAGUUUGAGUCCAGACUGUGUCAAGAUUGAAUGCCAAAAUACUGGUUAUGAUUUUAAUAUGUUUGCCAUCAUAAAUGAACAGAUGGUUAUAUGAAUGGUUGAUUUUAUUUAUGCUUUUAGUAUGUUUGCCAUUUUACCAAUUUUUGGCAUUUCUCUAGACAUCAGUUUUCUGUAUAUUCAUUGAAUUUGGGAAACUGCUGAAUUGUGUAAUUCAAAUAUGCUGAAUUUUGGGAACCCUCUAUAUAAGGUGUAUGAUGACUGCUUGCUCAAUGGUGUCAUGCUGUAGUGAUUUUGCAAAUUCAACCACAAGUUCUCUAUUUGAUUAAUGGAGAAUGUACUAGCAUGAGUUGUUAAGGGUGCAAACCUGAAUGGUGCUCAAUUAAUUAGUGCUAUCUUAGUGGCUUUUCUGCUAACUCACUAGAAAGCUCCUACUACAGUUUUUGCCUUCCACAGGUUAUAUUUGGUAGAGGUUGCAGUUCUGGAAACUUUAUGUCCAUUUGGGAUUUGAAAUUUUGUAUCACUGUUAAUGUUGCAUAAUUUUUCAAGAAUAUCUCGUUACCUUCUCUUGUUUACACUUGAGUACCUAGACCUUUAUCAUAUUUUUUCCUGUCAUACUCGUGAGUUUCUUGCCUUCCUAACUGAUGGAAACCAGCUAUAUGUUUGGCUCCCUAAUAAGAAUUCAGUUUAUUAGUUAACAAUAUCCCAGUAAAGGUUUUUAUUUGGUUAUUUUUAUUUGUUAUUUUACCUUUUAUUUCUCAUUGUGCAUUUGUAACUUGUUUUGUGCUAUUUGUAGGUUAAGCAACUCCUGGAGAAAAAUGAGAAAGGGCAUGUUAUUGCCACUUGUCGUAAUCCUGAUGGGGCAACUGCACUUCUUGAUUUAAAAAAUGAGUUUGCUGAACGGCUUAACAUCCUGCAGUUGGAUCUCACCAUUGAAAGCACCAUAGAGGUUAUAUUGAUCUCUCCCUUUUAUCCAGCUAAAACUAAAUUCAACUUAGUAGUCUUUUACCUUGUCAAGAAAACCUUGAUUGGAUUACUGAGGCUACGAAUUCAUUUCUACAUAUUGUUGUGGUUUUCACUUUCUUAAUCCAUGGAUGUCUCAUAGAAAGUUCACAGGCCCUUUUAGCAGCUGAAACGAUGGAGGAUAAUAAUAGAAAACUAGGAGUCUUAUUGCCAUUUAAGAUUUAAAGCUUUUGAGACUACAAAUUUCCAGUUAUUUUUCUUAGUCCUCUUGGGAAUGAAGAGCUUUAAUUUUUGUAUGCUAUAAAUUCAGUUCCUAUUUAUUAACAAAACAUGGUAGUUUUUGACUGCUUCUUAUGGUCUAUUCUCAGCCCUUUGAUAUACCUUCAUAUUUCAGGCAUCAGCAAAUUCUAUAAGAGAGAGAUACGGAUCUCUGAACCUUCUUAUCAAUGCAUCUGGCAUUCUUUCAAUACCUAAUAUUUUGCAACCAGGUAUUCUCAUUGUAUCGUUGCUUAUGCAUAGAUUUUGAACUUAGUAAUGGGCUUCAAUAACAGCCUAUAGUUAUCGAAAGUACAAGGUUCACCAGUAUGGAAGAAUACAAAUUCCAAACAUCCAAAGCAUUCAAGCAUUAGUAAAACAAGAAACAUCUAAUCCUAGAGUCCUAGACACUUUGUUCAACUGUCAUCUUCAUACAGAAAAUCAUCAUUUGUCUUUCCCAUUAUAGGAUUUAUAGCCCUCAUCAUCGUCCUUGUCCUUUCAUCUGAAUCACUUCCUUAUGAUCUAGAUUUAGUGUUGAGGAAGGGGACUGAGAGGUUGUAGCCUUUUCCCAAUGUUGCCCUCAUGGAGCUUAUCUGAUUUGCAUAUCAAAUCUGGCACCCCUGACUUUCAUACUUUUAACCAAUCAUUCGUUGCUUUCACAUAUAUCUUUCAAGGAGACAGAGCAGAUGAUUCUGUGCAUAUUAUAUUGUCUCCCCUGAGGCUUGGUUGUGCUUGAUGGAUGCCAAAUCAAUCAGAAUGACCAUGCAGUAGCAAGUUUCUUCUUUUUCCAUCUCUAUCCCAUGGAAGACUGCUGGUGUUUUUUUAUCUUUCUUCAUCUAGUAGCCAUGUCAAUUCCAAAGAGGUCUUGAGGUGUCAACUCUUCUAUAAUUAUGCCUUGCCUGAAAAUUAGCCAUGUCAAAACCAAUCAUUCAUUGAUCAGUUUUUGAAUGUCCAACAUCAAAGCUGAGCUAUGAGCACACAUGUGAUCCUAGAGAAACACAUGUAGUCCAGUAUAAAUGUAAGGAAUUGGCCUCUUCCAAGGCAAGAUGCAUGGCACGUGGGCUUGCAUUUUCUAUCAAUGUAUAAUCUAAUGCUGAACUAAAAGCUACCUGUUCAAUUAAUAGGGUUUUUUUUUUUUUUUUUUUUUUUUUUUUUUUUUUUUUUUUUUAUUGUAAGUGAAUUUGUUUUCUCU